rnacentral:lncRNA from 1 species
UUCCUUGACUAUCUUAAGGAAUGUGGGAUUGUCUCACAAUUGACACCUCCUAGGACACCACAGCUGAAUGGUGUGGUUGAUAGGCGCAAUCGAACCUUGUUGGAUAUGGUCCGUUCCAUGAUGAGUCGAGCUUCAUUACCAAUCUCUUUCUGGGGGUAUGCCUUAGAGACUGCCACCCAUAUCCUUAAUCUAGUCCCUACUAAAUAGGUUUCUAAAACACCUCAUGAGAUGUGGACUGGGAAAGUGCCCAAUUUGGACCACAUCAAGAUUUGGGGUUGUGAAGCUUUUGUGCGGCGUGAGACUCAUGACAAGCUUGAACCCCGCAGCGAGAGGUGUAUUUUCAUCGGCUACCCACAGAGAUCCUUUGGUUACCUCUUCUACAGACCCAGUGAUAAUGUGGUCUUUGUAGCAAGAAGAAGAGUCUUUCGUGAGAGACAAUUUAUAAGCCAAGGGGACAGUGGGAGGCAAAUUGACCUUGAAGAGCUUCAAGAGUCAAGUGGUGAAGGAACCUCAAAUACUGUCAGCCAACCUGAGGAGGAAACUCCUGUUGAGCCGAUAGAUGAGUCUGUACCUCCAAGACGAUCCACUAGGGUGAGGAACACGCCUGAAUUUUAUUAUGGUUAUCACAUCUCCACUGAAGGUGAUACAUUUAUCAGUGAUAGUACAUUGAUAGAUUUGGAUGAACCUAAUAAUUAUAAGGAAGCCAUGGCAGGCCCUGAGUCUGCAAAAUGGAAGGAGGCUAUGGACAGUGAGAUUCAGUCCAUGUAUGACAAUCAAGUUUGUAACUUGGUUGAUAAUGUACCCGGUCGUAAGACAGUAGGGUGCAAAUGGAUCUUCAAGAAGUAGACCGACAUGGAUGGGAAGGUACACACUUACAAAGCGCUACUGGUUGCAAAAGUAUUUACUCAAAUUUCGGGAGUUGACUAUGAUGAGACCUUAUCGCCAGUAGCAAAGAUUAAGUCUCUUAGGGUGUUAUUAGCCAUAGCUGCAUCUCAUGAUUAUGAAAUAUGACAAAUGGAUGUCAAAACCGCUUUCCUUAAUGGGAAGUUGGCUAAGGAUGUUUACAUGGCUCAUCCAGAGGGUUUUGUCGAUCCAAAAUACCCUAAUAGAGUGUGUAAGCUUCAGAAAUCCAUUUAUGUAUUGAAACAAGCGUCUCGCAGACGGAAUCUUUGCUUUGAUGAGAAGGUCAGAGAGUUUGGCUUCUCUAGAAGUGAGGAUGAGUCCUGCGUGUAUGUUAGGGCCAGUGGGAGCAUAGUAAGCUUUUUGGUGUUGUAUGUGGAUGACAUACUUCUCAUAGGAAAUGACAUCCCAACUUUCAAAGAGGUUAAGUCUUGGCUUGGGAAGUGUUUCACUAUGAAGGACCUUGGGGAAGCUGCCUGUAUCCUAGGGAUAAGGAUAUUAAGAGACAGGAGUAAGAGACUAAUUAGACUUAGUCAGAGUACCUAUGUGGAUAAGGUACUGAAGAGGUUCAGUAUGCAAGAUUCCAAGAAAGGAGAAUUACCAAUCCAGAGUAAUGCCAAGCUAAGUAAGACUCAGAGUCUGAGUACAGAGGCUGAGAUAGCUGAAAUGAGUAAUAUACCAUAUGCUUCCGCCAUGGGCUCGAUCAUGUAUGCAAUGACUUGUAAUCGCCUUGAUGUGGCCUUUGCUUUGAGCAUGGUCAGUAGAUAUCAAGGGAACCCUAGCAAGGCACACUAGACAGCGGUAAAGAACAUUCUCAAGUAUCUACGGAGGACUAAGGACUGGGUCCUUACCCUCAGAGGCAAUGAUGACUUGAGAGUGGANAGGAUAUAGUAUGCUAGCUUUCAGACUGAUAGGGUUAAUUUCCGCUCUCAGUCGGGCUGGGUCUUUAUCCUAAAUGGAGGAGCAAUUACUUGGAAAAGCUCCAAGCAGGAGACCGUAGCUGAUUCAACUUGUGAAUCAGAGUACAUAGCAGCAAGUGGGACAGCAAAAGAGGCGAUACGGCUAAAGAACUUUAUCGGAGACCUUGGAGUUGUACCAACUAUAAAGGAGCCAAUGGAACUUUUCUGUGACAGCGAAAGUGCGGUUGCUUUGGCUAAAGAACCAAGAGAUCAUGGGAGAUCUAGGCACACUGACAGAAAAUACCAUUUCAUCAGACAUAGAAUAGAAGAAGGACUCCUCGUGGCAAAGAGGGUAUCAUUAGAUGAGAACCUAGCAAAUCCCCUCACGAAAGGACUGAGUAGGGUUAAGCAUUUACAGCAUGCGAGGCGCAUUGGGCUGAAGGAUGAUAUUAGUUUCAAUAAUUUGAUUUCUGAAACUUGUAAAAUGUAAUUGACAUUUGAUGAUUAAAUAAAAGUUUUUAUUUAUUUAUGAGUAAAAGUGUUACUAUCUUGUGUUGAUCGUUUACUAUGUUUCAAUUUUGCAUAUUUUGACUUCUAGAAUAAGUAUAUUAUUAUUCAAACCAUCCACAAUCAGUCAAACUUUGAAAGUAGGUAUUGAUUUAAGACUGUCAUGAAUUUGGAUUGUAUGAUUUGUCUAAAGUGCUUUAGACAUAGCAAUGGUUGCUACAACAUUCAUGAGUACUCAUAAGGCCUGAGUAUAGGAUUCAACCCACGCUCACUUACAUCACUUCAUGGAAUUUAUCUUGAGUGAUCGUGAGACGGUAAUAUCAUAUAAAUCUUCAAACCUAGAGAUAUGAGUUGUUGACUAUGAGUUGGUUAUCCAUUGACUAUAUGAAAGCGCAUUCAUAACUCGAUGUUAUAAAACGUGCUUUUGUGUAUAAUUCAACAAGUAGUCAGUACAAGCAUAUUACUCGAAGUUUAUCUAUUCCUUCUAGAAAUAGAAGCGAUAUAUGGGCCCCUCGAUGAUUUGGUUUUGACUUAUGUACCGGGCUUGGUCAGAACCUAAUUGAUGUGUUCAAUUUAGUUCUAUGUCGAAACAAAUCAGAGAUCAAGAAACAAAUGCUAGACAAUAAGUAAGACCAUGUUCCAUGUGUUUUUCCGGCUGAUAUCUUGAGAGUAGAGGAUUAUAUGAUCACUUAUCUUAAAUGGCACAUCAUCAUCAUCUUAGUUCCGAGAGACUUUGAAAGAGCUACGAUUACUAGUUAGAUUUUGAAGUCAUAUAUGCAGAUAGAGUUAUUAGACUUAUCCAAGUGGGAGACUGUUGGAUAUAGUGUCUAAGUCCAUAACUUUAUUUGGAAUGUACUUGACCCCACUUGGCAUGGUCCAUUUGGGUUUCAUGGCAUUGCAAUACUUGGAUAGACAAAAUGAGAAAAACUACACUUGUGAUUAUUACUAUAUUAUAAGUUCUAAUUUAUUAAUAAUAGUAUUAUAUAAUUAGUAUUGAUCAAGUAUUAAUCUAGUAUUAAUUUGGUGAUCAAAGUGAUACUAAUUAAAUACAUAGGGUUGAUUAUGACAAUCAUCAAUUCUUGUAUGGUGGAUUAAUGAUCCAUGGUUUAUGGGUUUGGUUAUAACCAUAUGGAGCUCCAUGGAUAGUCCAUGGGAGUUACAAACCCAUGGGUCAUGAGAAAUGGAGAGUCAUGACAAUUAACAGUAUACCUGAGAAAAACCUAAUUGUGACAACACUAUAAAAGGAACCCUUUGGCUGGCAAAAUCAGCUACCUAGAGUUCUUGUGAGGGCAUAACUGAUUCUUGAGUGUAGAAGUAUUUUCUCAAGUUAUUCAAGUUUUGUGGUGUUAUGUGAAGCAUUUGAGGCACAACAUUUUGGGUGUUAGGCUCACAAAGUCUUGAAGGAGUCCAAGCAACAACAAGGUAUGUAUUUCUACUAGUUUUUAUGUUUUAUAUAUUCCCCAUGCCAUGCUAGUUAGGAAAUAACCUUGAAAAAGAAAUUUGAAUGUAUAUAGAGAAAACAUAGAUUCAAGAUUAUUAGGGUUGCAUGUACACUUAGGAAGUGUUAGAAUGCUCAAAACCCAUCAGCUACCUCCCCUUUCAUACACGACCACCAGUAACUCAAUUUCAAAUCCUGAUACAUCUUGGUGGCUCCCGGGAGUAUAGAAAAACGAGACUUAUGAACAUCCUCCAACACUAUCUGCGUUAUCCCACCAGAAACUGGAACCCAUACCUGACCACACUGGGUGAAUAACCCUCGAAUGUUGGUGAAAAACCUGUCGAUCUCUCCCCUGAUCCUUUCCUGCUUCCAGUUCUCCUUCCUAACUCCCUUUGCAUGUGUCUCUGAUCAGACAUAAAAGUAGAGAAUCAACGAAUAUCCUCAUACACAUUUCUCCAACUAAAGAUCAAACCAACUUGCGGCUCAUGGCAUCCUCUACCACAUUCGAUUUACCUGGAUGGUAAAGGAUCUUGCAAUCAUAAUCCCCGAACACGUCCAGCCAUUUGCACUGCCUCAUAUUCAGGUUCAACUGGUCCAUUAGAUAUCGUAAACUCUUGUAAUAUGUGUAAAUAGUACAACCAACCCCAUAAAGAUAAUAUCUCCAAAUCUUGAGGGCAAACACCAUUGCCCCCAACUCCAGGUCAUGAGUAGGAUAUCACGCCUCAUGCGGCCUCAGCUGCCGAGAUGCAUAAGUAAUCACUCAUCCUCUCUACAUUAGAGGAUCACCCCAAACUAGUGAUGGAUGCAUCACAGAAUACUACAAAAUCCUCAACACACUUUGGAAGAGUAAACACUGGGGCCUCGCAUAACCUCUGUCGCAGCGACUCAAGAUCAACCUGCUGCUCGGGAUCCCAUCGAAAAUCAACUCUCUUCUUCUUCAUAAGAUUGAGAGGUAUUGCGGUCUUGGAGAAGUCUUGAAUAAAUCUCCGAUAAUAUCCCACCAAACCCAAGAAACUCCUGAUCUCUAAGGGGGAUUUCAGAACCUCCCACUACAUCACAACCUUGAUCUUGGUCGGAUCGACCAAAAUUCCAUCAUGGUUAAUGAGAUGUCCCAGGAACUAGACCUCUCGUAACCAAAAUUCACAUUUUGAGAACUUGGCAUACAAUCGUUCCCACCUCAAUACUCCCAAAAGCUCUCGAAGGUGCUCCUCGUGCUGCUCUUUGGUCUUGGAAUACACCAAGAUAUCAUCAAUGAACACCAUAAAAAAUCGGUCAAGCAUCGGCCUUUACACCCGAUUCACCAAAUCCAUAAACAUUGCAUGUGCAUUGGUUAGCCCAAAUGGUAUCACCACUAACUCGUAAUGCUCAUAACAAGUCCAGAAUAUGCUCUUCCCAUGUCAUCCUUUCUCAUCCUCACCUGAUGAUACCCCGACAUCAACUCGAUCUUAGAGAACCAAGAUGCACCCUGUAGCUGAUCAAAGAGGCCAUCAAUCCACGGAAGGGGAUAAAGGUUGUUCACCGUUAACUUGUUUAACUCUUGGUAACUAACGCACAUCUCGUGUGAACCCGCCUUUUUCUUGACGAACAUUAUUGGUGCUCCCUACGACGAACUGUUGGUCUGGUGAACUAAUUUCCUAACAGCUCCUGAAGUUGAGAGGAAAACUCCUACAUCUCGGGAGGCUCCAAGCGGUAUGGCACCUUGGCAACCAGAUCCGCACCUGGCACUAGAGUAAUCAUGAACUUAACCUGUCUCUCGAGAGGCACACCGGGUAGCUCCUCCGGGAACACAUCGGCAAAUUCCCUAACAACUGGUACAUCACAUAAGCAAGGUAACCCACACAACCAUGCUGAAUAUACUAUCGAUCCCUGGCUGCCAAACACAACCCUGAACCAACCCUGGUACCCUCUCCAUAGAUAACUAGUUCUCCAUCACUAGGGGUUCGAACUACCACUCACUGACCCUGACAAUCGAUCAUGGCACCAAACCUGUUCAGCAAAUCCAUCCCCACUAGCACACACACAUUCCUAAUGGAGAUACGGAGCAAAUUAGUCAGAUAAGGCACCCCGAAAAUAUCCAAUACACAACCCUGAUACACUCUGGAUGUAGAAACCCCAUGUUCAUUGGUGAUAGAAACCAUCAACAGGCACUCAAAUUCACUAAGAGGCAUGCCAAGAUCCCUACUAAAAGAUCGAGACACAACGGACUGACUCAAGACCGAGUCAAAUAACACAGGAGUAGGAAAAGAGUGCACUAAGAACGCACCUCUUAGAAGCAUACACAUAAGCAUACCAUAAAAAUAAUCGGUAGAACAAUAAAUAGAAACAUACUGGUAAUGAUUUUUGGUGUUGCUCUGGCCUCCUCGGUAGUGAGCAGAAAAGAAUGACCCUGAGCCCUCAGGGGCUUCGCCCUCCCCUUGAGCCCAUCGGUGAUCCUCAAAGUGGAUCGCGCCAGGGCCAUCGCCAGCUUGGCGACGAGCAAUGAGUAGUUGACCUACAUAUGGCCAACCUGAUCACAGUGGUAGCAAAUCCCGGUACAUGAAACAGCGGCCAGCUGGCGACAAUCCCUCGUAUAGUUCCCCUCCUUGUCACAUUUGUGGCAUACAGAAUAUGCAGACAAAGACCCUCGUGAACCUUAAGGUACUUUCCACAAGUGUGGCCCCUCUGACCCCCAAACCUCACAUCAGAGGCCUUAAACCACUUCGUUGAAGGCUACGACUGCACAGGGGCCUGCCUCUACUCCAUCGUCUGGAGCUCCAUCUUAAUCUCACAUCGCCUCGUGGCCUCCUAAAAAUCAAGGAGUGAUCCACAGCGCUGAGUAACCACAAACUGGAGGAUGUCUGUCUUGAGCAUGCCUAAGUACAAAAGUCAUCUAAGCUUGCUUAGAAGUAGUAAAUUCAAGGAAAAACAUAGUUCCCUCUGUGAACAUCUUGGUGAUCUCGUCACCGACUUGGCCACCAGUUUCAGGUCCAAAUACUCCUGGUGCAUCCUCUCCCACUCCACCAAUGGAACAUAUCUCGAGCGAAACAUCUCAGUGAACUGAUCCCAUGAUAUUGAAACUUGCUUCUUUGGGGUAUAUAAACUAGUAACCAGCCUCCACCAAUCCUUCGCUCUAGACCAAAUAAGGUUUAGAGCACACUUAACCUUCUGGUCAGCUAGACAAGAUCAGUUAAAGAAACAUCCCUCAUCAUCUGAUAGCCACCUCAUGGAAAUGAUUAGAUCCUAAACCCCUUCAAACAUUGGUGGCUUUGUACUAUCAAAGUCCCGAUAUUGAAAAGCUUUCCCAAUGCCAAUCCCGGCCGCAAUGACGAACGCGGUAGCUACAACAACGACAGUCUUAGAAAGUGCAACAUAUCGGUCAUUGAAGAAAUCCAUCAUAGAGGUAUUGAUAGACUCAAACAGCUCCAGUAUCUGCCCAUGGACAAUAGAAAUAACCUCCUCACGAAUCAUCUGCCUAACUCGGUCCUUAGUCAAUCCUGGCCUAUCCUGGCCACCUGUCCCGAUUCCUAAUUUGGAUCCUACCUCAAAUCGCCUCGUAACUACCAUAUUGAAAAUAAACCAGGGAGAUAUCAAAUAACAUGGAUAUCAUAUCAUACGAGCCAUAUCCAACAAAACCCUAGGGGUUGUGACUUCCUUGAUACACGUCUGGGUCCUGUGCUUCUGGUAGUACGGGCCCAUACUACCUUCCAGGCCUACCCGUGUUUGUCUCAGAAGAUUAUCACAACAACCCUAACAUCAUUCACUAUAUUACACAUACACCCUGUUCUCAAUUCCUAGAGAAAGGCUAGACAUCCCUCGACUGGUCGGCUGACCCCAUAUAACAUAUCUAUGAUACUUCCACCAACCCUGCAGCACUCGUGUAUGCUAAUCAUAGAUAACCUUGGAUCCUAUAGACAGUCGAAUACUUGAUUCUACCCAACGCCCACAACCAAACAAGGAAUAGAAAAUAAGGCUAAAUCGAAUAUUCUCAUGCUAUAAAAUCUUAGUUAUGUAUAAUUUUGAUACAUACACUAAGUAACUAUAGUAAUGAUGUCAAUUUCAUAUUAGGAAGAAUCCUAGGCUAUCAGGCAUCAUAUAAUCAGACAAUUUUAUCAUGUAAUUCCUGAAGCUCCCAAGCCUAUAACUAGCAUGCUGUUCUACUUAACAUAAUAAAAGUUAAUUGUGUGGUAACUUGGGGUAUACUUACUGGCUCCAGCGGAUCAUACACACCGCAUCCUUCGUUGGUUACUUUUGAAAACAAUUUUUUAAAUCAUUUUGAAACCUUUGCAGACCCUUAGUUUCAUUUUGCACUCUCAUGAAUGCUUAUCCAAUUCUCUGAAACUUUGGCUCUGAUACCAACUUGUAACAUCUCAAAAAUCACAACAAUUUUAAAACCCAUGAUCAUAAAACGUCUAUGUAACAUCCUAAAAACAAGACCCAAAAAUUUCACUUUUAAUUUAAUAAAAACAAUAUCCCGAAACAUCAUCAUACAUCCCAAGUGGAACAAAUGUAUCAAUACAUCACAAAAUGUAAAAAUUAUCAUGAAAAUGCGGAACAAUAUCGCAUGCGCACUGCAAUUACCGCGAACUCUUUCCCUUUGCAUUAGAAGUACCUGAAACAUAAAUUGAAAACCAUAAGCAUGAAACUUAGUGAGUUUCCCAAAAAUACCACACACCACACAUAUCAUGCAUAUAAUGGGCCCCACCCUAACUCGCAUAAUGGGCCCCGCCAACUGAGUAUAACGGGCCUUGCCCUAACUCAUAUAAUGGGCCCUGGCCACUGAGUAUAACGGGCCUCGCCCUAACUCGCACAAUGGGCCCCGCGCAUCAUACAAAGAUACAAGUAUUACAAGUAAUAGCAUACAGAUUAUCCAUUGGGCCCCACCCACUAAGCAUACAAACACAUACACAUGAAUGAGUCACGUAGAGAUUGUUGGGGUUCGAAGUUUGUGAGAUGUCGAAAUUAUCUUUGUUAUUUGUAAUGUCGAAAUUUGGAUUUUAUUUUUCUUUUAAGGAAUACUUUUGUAACAAAGCUUAGAUUUUGAAUUCCUUAUAGUUUUGUGCUUUCAGUUUUCUAUAUAAAUAUUGGAAGGAUACUUUAGAGGUUAUAUUUAGAUCUCUUGUACUAAAUCAUUAGAUACUAUGAUUUUGUUUGAUUACUUGAUUCAAUCGGAACUACAUUUGGUAUCAAAGUAGGAGUCAAACUGUUUUGAUCUAAUUUUCUUCUGUUUCAAAAGUUUUUUGAAUCUCAUUCUAGAUUCAAAAGUUUCAAAACUUUUGAUCUAGAAAAUCUUUGUAGAUCUUCAGUUUUGAUUUGAUUCUGCAUAUCGAUUGACAAAUCGAGUGUUCGGUGUUCAUUUGUUGUUUAAUUUGUCGUGUUAAUCUCAAAUUUCUCAAGCUUUUCUCUGAAAUUGUCUGUACAUCAAUGGAAAACUUCAACAUGAAUACCAUGAAUUCUUUCUCUCAUUUUCUAGUUUCUUCAACUAAGAUUCCUAUGCUUAUUCCAGAGAAUUACGAUCAAUGGGCAGAUCGAAUGGUGGAUUACUUGAAUGGACUCGAUGAAGAGCUAUGGAAGUGCAUUACUGAUGAUGUUCAUCCACCUUCAUCUAUUCAAAGCUUUGGAAAUUCUACAUCAACUCAAAGUGUUACUGAACACAUUGAAAGGCUAUAGAAGAAUGAGAAAAGGUGCAUGAGACAGUUUCGUGGCGCUCUUCCUCCUGUGGUGUAUAAUUACGUUCGAACCUAUAAAACCUCAAAACAAAUCUGGAAUACACUUCGAGGAAAAGUCUCGGGGUAGUGAGAAGACCAAAAUCAGUUUAGUCAAGCAAUGUCUAAUGGAAUUAAGGGAGUUUAAGCUAAAAGAGGGCAAGUCGAUCGAAUUGUACUAUGAUCGUCUAAAUGAUCUCAUCUACAAGUGUAAUAGGUAUGGAAUUACCAGGUCCACUAUGGAAUACAACUUUACUUUCAUAAUGGGACUUCACAAGGAAUGGAGGAAUGUGAGUUUGAUGAUGAAAACACAACAAACCUUCAACGUUUUUACUCAUAAUGAUCUUUACUAUCUGCUAAAAGCUCACGAAACCGAAGUAAAUGAAAUUGUUGAAGAGUCAAAGAUCAAUCUACGAGGUCCAUUAGCAUUGGUUUUGAAAGUAUCAGGAAGAGUAGGUGAGAUGGAAGAUACCCAGAAGGAAAGUUUCGAAGAUGAAGGUAUUAUCGCCAACUCUGAUGACGAAGAGGUGGCUUUUUACUCCAAAAACAGAGUAAAGAAGUUUUAUAAGAAGCCAUUUAAUGCAAAAUCAAAAGUUGGUGAAAUGAAGGGAAGUAACACUAGAAAAUCUAGUGAUGAGAAGAAAUUUAAGAAGAAAGAGGUUAAGGGUGAAGAUUCGAAACAAGAGAAAAAGCUAAAAGGUGAUAAUGUCAUGGAGCAAAUCACAUGGACAAUGAUUACAUGCUAAAGAAGAAAGAAGAAAAAAUAAAUAGGGUUAAGGAUGAGGCAUACUACUCCGAAAAGCUUGAAGAAGUGAGGGCAAGGUCGAAAAGGAUGUCUUUGGUGGCAAGAGGAGAAGAUGAGGAUGAGGGCAAGUACCAAAUAUGGUCUUCUGGCUUUGAUGAUGAAGAGAUGAGAAAUCCGACACAUGGAGCCAUGUUUGCAAAUUUUGAGGAGGAUGAAGAAGAAAAGAUUACUAGUCGUUGCUUUGUUUUGACAUCAGCAGACAAAGAAUCAAUGACUUCGAAGGUACAUUCUCUACUUUAAUCCUUUAGUAUUCCUUCAAGUGCUUAUAAUUCUAUAUUAACUGAGUUUGAUGAUGUUGUUACUUAUGCUAAUAAUCUAGUGAUCUCUGCUAGCAAUGAGGCUAAAAAAUAUAGUACUCAGUUACUAGAAACAUAAAGGAUGGUGGAGGCAAAGAAGGCUAAAAUAGAUCAUCUAGAUUUGCAAAAAACGAACAUCAUGAUUGAUAGAGACAAUUUGAAUACAAAUAAUAGGAUUUUGUUAAAACAAAGGAAUAUUUACUAUAAUUAUGCUAAAAUACUCUAUUGUAAGUUGAUUGAAUUGCAUCACUCAAGUGACAUAAGUAAAGAACAACAUAGGAUACUUCUACCAUACUUAUCUUUCUAAAGGGAAAAAGUAGAUGCAACUUCUUAUGAUUGUGAGAUGACUAUUUCUAACUUUGAUAAAGUUCCCGAUAAUAGAUAUCCCUAUGGAAUAUAGAAAAUCGAUGAACAUCUAGAUGCUAAUGAUCUUGUUGAUAUAGUUAAUAAGACUUCGACUGUAAAUGAACAAAUCAGGAUUUUGAAAAGACUGAGAAUUCGACUUCUGAAUCUCAAAACAACUUUCCUGAUAUCGAAGAUGCCAAUAUUAGUAAAAUUGAAGCAGAGGAAGUUGUCGACUGUUCUCAGUUAUCUGUCAUUAAUGUCAAAUCAUUAGCUAAGGGUAACGAAAAAUGUCAUGAUUCAAAUAUUAAAGUUGACAAUGAUCAACCCUCUACUGAGAAUGUUUUUGACCCUGACCAUGUGACCGUCAACGAUAGUUAGACUGACAGUGAUGAUGAUGAUGAUGUUUCGAAGGAAACAAUAGAUCCAAAUGUUUCGAAAGAAAUAAAAAUUCCUCGAAUUGUUAACGAUCCGAAGUAUGAAGAAACAAAGAAAUUUGACAAAAUCAUGAAAGAAAAAGGUUCUCAUUAUCUUAAACCUAAUUCAGUGGUUUAUCCAAACUUCAAUUGCAUUGAUAAUGUUGUCUUUCCAAACCAAGUUUUUGUCACAAAGGGUAAUGGAGAUAGUGUGAAACCAGAGAUAAACAAAUUGGUUGAAGAGGAAAAUAAGAAUGCUUCAACUGAAGGAUUUUUCUCAAAUCAAAACAGCUUUGAGAACAAUAUUACCAAAAACUCAUACACAUUUCAAAGACAAAAGGCAAAUCGAACUUGGGUGGUUAAAAAUGAAUCGUAAAAAGUUGAGAAACAAAAAGAUUCAACAAAAUUCACAAGAAAAUGGGAUUUCAAUGAAUAUGUAACAACCGAAAAUUUCCAACCAAUUUAAACUUUUCAAAAAUAACCCGUUUCCAUUAAAUUAUUACAAAAAGGUUUUCAAUACAAUUUAUUUAGAGUAUUCCCAGAAUCAUAUCACAACAUAAACAUGAGGAGCGGUACGAUCAUGCCUUCGCCUUGCCACGGUCUCCUGAAGAACCUGAAAAACAUUAAACCACAACUGUAAGCCUGAAAGCUUAGCGAGAUAUCCCCAAAAUACCAACCACAUAUACCAUACACGCAUAACAUGCCAUAUCAUAUUCGGCCACAGAACAGCCAUGCACUUCGGGUCUACUGUGUGACUAGUCCGCCGCACCGGCCAACAGUCCACCUGGUCCACCCUCCGAGUUUAGCCAUAUACUUCGAGUCUGCAGUGUGAUUGGUCCGCUCACACCGGGCCUUCAAUCCACCUGGUCCACUCUCUGAGUCUACAAUAUGACUGGUCUGCCCGCACCGGGCCUUCAAUCGGCUUGGUCUGCUCUCCGAGCCUCGGCACGUCUGGUCCGCCCUCUUGGGGCCUACAGCCUAUCGGGACUGCUCGCUGGGCCUUCGGGACAACCGGUCCGCCCUGGGUAUCUUGGCCUACAACACAAAGCAGGACCCGCCUCAACCCAACUCUAGUCCAACCAACCAUGUGCACAUAAACAUACAAUCAUAGAUCAAUUCACAAUCAACAAGCCGAUCUAACAGAUCACAUAACAUAUCAUCAUCCUAACCAGGAUACCGACCUAACCGGUCACUAGCAUAGUAUCACGCUACAUAACAGGAUACCGACCUCAACCAGGUCUCUAACACAUACCAUCCUAGCUACCAGGAUGCAAACAUAUCAAAGCAAUAACAUAGCAACAAAUACCCGGAUCUCAAUCCGAUAAAGGGCCGGCCUUGGUGCCUUAGACCCUGUUGAUAUAGUGAGGAUAAAUCACCUCGCAACUGCCGACUGAAUAGAUAAACCCGUGCUGCUCCGACCACUGAUAAGAUCUCCACCACUCGCCAACCACCAAAACACUGAACUCAAAACAAUAUCCAACAAUUACAAAAUGCCCUUGGAGAAUAACUGGUCAACCCUUGGACAAAUUCAAAGUCAAAGUCAACCCUGACUGACUCUACUCGCCGAGUCAACCCAUUGACUCGCCGAGUCCACAUACACAGAAUUUCCCCCAUCCGCAACUUAACUCGCCGAAUCACCCCAAGACUCGCCGAGUCCAGCAACUCUGAGUCCUUUCUCACCCAACUCACCGAGUCACAGCUCAACCAGAAGAAACUUGGACCUCACGACCAGACUCGCCGAGUCCAAGAACAGACUCGCCGAGUCUAAGGCUAUCUUCAACCUACUCGCCGAGUUGUUCUUCCAACUCGCCGAGUUCCAGACCAUCUUCAAGCAACUCGCCGAGUACACCUUUGUGACUCGCCGAGUGCCUCUAGAUCUCAUCCCAAACAGAACCUUCCAGGCCAUGCAAUUGAUCCAAAACGUAGACCUAGCCUCCUACAACCCAUCCAUCACGUAAAGUGGUAAACUUUACGUGAAUCCAAAGAGAUCUAGGCAUUUUACACUUUAGGGAUAGGGUUUGGGACAUGAUGGCUUCACCAAACACUAAAGAACAGGGACUUUAAUGCACUUAAGACCUCCUCCACUCCAGAUCUGAGGUAGCAACCUCAGAUCUACUCUUCAAACUCAAGAUACCACAAGCUAAGCCUCCCAUACAUUCCAAGAAUCAUGAAUCUAGAAGAAUAACAGCCCAAGAACGAGAUUAUACCUUAAAAAGGAAGCCCCAACAGCAAUGAAAUCCGAAUCCAAGCAAAGCCCCUUGCUCCAAGCCUCCUAACUCUCCAAGAUCUUCCUCCAAAUCUCUUUUCCAAGGUUCAAUUGCACUCCAAUCCUUCACACUCGCGUUUCUAGGGUUUUCUGGACUUAAGGGAAGGUAAGGAGGCUAGGGAGAGGGCAUAAUGUCCUUUAUAUAGGGCUCAUCCUCCGAAAUUAGGGUUUUCUCCACUCAGCACCAAUUCGCCGAGUCCAGCCGCCGACUCGCCGAGUUGGCCACUUAACACGCGACCAAAAUCGCGACCCUACUCGCCGAGUCCACUCGUGGACUUGCCGAGUUGCCCUUUCCAAUUUACACUUUUAGCCCUUCAAUUUUACUCUUGAUAUUUCGGGAUGUUACAGAAUAAGGCACGAAACAAGGCUUAUUGGAAUACUUAUGUGUCUAAAAAGAAACAACAAAAUUUAUUCUUCCAAAAUGUCUAAAAAUAGAAAGUCUGAAUCCGUUAAGACAAAAUUACAAAAUUCAUUUUCUGGUGAAAAGAAAUCAAUGUGAAAACCUUCGAAAUCACAAAAAAGAUUUUUCUAAAGACAAGGAACAAGUUUUGAAACCAAACCAAAAAUCAAAUGUUCAAACUUCUUAUCAUGAGAAUUAUGUGAAAAGUCAACAAAAAGGUUUUAUUAAGAACUCAAACAAUCAAAGGUUUUCACAAAAUAAUUUUCAGAGAAGUGAUUUUCGAUCAAAUGAACAAAAGAAUUAUCAUCAUGUUCCUUAUUAGAAUCAAUUUUCAAAUUCACAAAUAGUUUUUCCAAAAAAGAAUGUUGGAUAUCAAAGCCGAUUUCCAAAUCGUUAUAAUCCUCAUGUUUCGACAAGAAAGCCAACAAGACAUUUUGAGAAAUUGAAAGUUUAAGGGAGGAGAAAUGAAUCUUUUCAGACUGAUCAACCUCAAUUUCAAAACCCACCUUCGAAACAAACCACAAAAGCAAUGUUUGUGAAAGGAAAAACAGAUGUGCAAAAUAUAAAUCAUUGGUUGGAAGGAAAGGGAAAGAGUUUUCAUCUGGGAAAUUCACUCAAGAACAGAUUAAGGAUGCAUAUGAGAACUAUUUGAAUGAAUCUUCAAAUGGAAGUUCUUCGUCAAAAGAAUCAAAUCCUUAUGUUCAAAAAUGGAGAGAAGUUUCGACAUAAAAAGUCAGUAAGAGAGAACCUAAGAAGAAUGAGGCGCACGUUGAUGUUGAAUUUAAAUCUUCAGAUGAUUACAUUUCGAUACCCUUAAAUAAUGAUGUGGAUUUAAUUGAUAGUGUCAAAACUAAAGUUCAAAACUGGAUAAUUGGAUCUUCGAUACAUCAAGCUUUUUAUUCAAAUAUCCCAGGACCCAAACAACCUUGGGGACCUAAAUUCUUUAAAUUAUUGCUUGUUUUGUGUAUGCUAUGGUGGCUGGCAUUUACUAUGAUCUACUGGUGGAUUAUGCAACACAAAUUUGGGAUGAAUUUAUUAAAAGUAUUGAACAUACGAUUGCUGUUGAUGGGGUCUCGUGUGCUCAAUACUGGAGUCGUAUUCUUCUAUGCGUCUAUGAUAAAGAGGGUGUUCAAGUGCCUGAAAAUGAAGAAACUGUUGGGUUUCCUUUAUAUUAGUUUCCUAAAACUGUUGAAGAUGAUUCUGAACUUUUUCCAAGUAUUGUUAGGAUUCCAGAUGUAAUGCUUCGAAUGGUUGAUCCUAUAAAUCCUAUCUUGGUUAAUUACUUAACAAUGAUUAAUCCAGAUGUUGAAACUUCGGUGUUAUUCACAAAGACAACUGAAGGUCCUUCCAAGAAAAGAAGAGGAUCAAAGAAGGAAGCUCACUUAAGUCCUUCAAAAGCUAGUAUGGUUGUAACAGAAGGGAAAUCUCCAAACAAAGUCAUUGUGAAAGUGAAGGCAUCAAAGAAAAACUCAACGCUAAUAGUCACUGAUUUAGCUAAUCCUUUGAAGGAUGUAGUACCUUCGAAGACCGGGGUUCUCAAAAGACAUAAGAAAUGGGCUCACAAAUCUCGUCAUUCUCCUGAUAGGUCUGGGAGUUUUUCACCAUCAUUUGAUCGAAAACCCCAGGUUGGUCGAAAAGGGGUUCUCAUUCGUGAAAUACAUGUCCCUAUUUCUCCACAAACGAAGAAAAGGAGAGCAGAAGAUAUGGCGAAAAAGAUCUCAAAGAAACAAAAGAAGCAAAGGAAAUUGUUGUUACAAGAAGAUUCAAUUGAUGAAGAAGUAAUUCCUGAAACACCACUUGCAGAUACAAUAUUGGGCCAUUCUUCAUGUGUGAGGGAUUCUCCAAUUAAGUCGACUUUCGAGGAGACUGGAAAUCUUGAUGGUUAUGUGAAAACUUCUACAGUGGACAUAACCAUUAAUCACGGUGAACAACCAAAGAUUUAGACUCCUGAGCAGACAACGGUCAUACCACUUGAGGUUUUGCAUACCAAAUUAUUUAAUGAGAAGGUUCGAAUCUCCUGCAUCUAUGAAAACAUAGGUGAAAAUGACAACAAGGGUGAUGGAUUUUCGACAAAUGAAGCCCAAGGUAACCCUUCCCUUGUCGUAUCGUCUACUUUCGAAACCUCAAAUAUUGAUACUUUAGUUUCAAUACCACCAUUAAUUGUUCCCAGUACAUCUCAUAUCCCUUUAUCUACUGAUUCUCCUACUUUCGAUACAAUUAUGAAACAACCCAUUACUUCCUUAUCCCCAUCACAAUCUACAAAAGAACCCAUAACAGUUCUUGAUGAAGAAACUGGCGAUUGCGGGUUUGUUGGUUCUUUUGCUGACAUCAAGUUUGAUCCCAAGGAGGAGACCAUUCCCAACAACAUGCUCAUGUCUGGGAAACAGUUCAACAUUUUAAAUCGCAAGCUCAAUUCUCUACUACAAUUUCAAGUUGAUGCAUUUUCGGGUAUUGAGGUGGAUAUUAUGUUGAAAGCCCAAGAGCUUCAUCUUCUCAACAAGAUUCGUCAGUCUGACAAAAACAACGAAUUACAGGUCAAGUCUCAAUAUGAUACACUCAAUGGUGAACUGAAUGAAUUGAAAACUGUUGCCAAACAAUGACAUGUUUUGUUUGUUAAGGAUGUCAAAACUAUUCGAGAAAAUGUCAAUCGAAAGCUUGAAGAAUUAAGAUCAAACUUAGCAAAGGAAUUACAGGAAGUGACAAAUAGCUACUCUUCAAUUCUCGAGAAGGUGGACAUUAUUGUUGGGUCUGUAACUAAAAUAGAUCAAUCUUACAGUUUUAUGCUUCCGAAGAUGGAUGCACAGGCAGAAUUGUGUAACGCCUGUGUUUCAGGUCUAUGCAGUAGUAGAUGAUGUAAUAGUGUAGGUCAACUAUUUUAACUUUUUCUGAAGUAAUAAAGAUGAAAUAUUUGAGUAUUAUGUGAAUUAUGUGAGUUUAUAUGCUUGUUAUUUAUUUAUAUAUUUAUGAUAAAUAAAGGAUAAAUAUAAGCAUCAAAAUUAAAGUGUUACAUAAACCCGAUAUCUCUACAUAAAGUUGUAGUGGUCGAAACAAGGAUUAUGGGGAUAUAAAGAAUGCCGAAAUCCGAGUUAUAACGAAGUAGUUAUGACCCGUCGAAGUUUAGCGACGGAACCGGCACGGCACCGGGAAGCGUAAAUAGUGAAUUUACGAUAGAGCGAUUUUUAGCCUUAGCGAUCUAAACAAAAGUGAUAGAAUACUUUAAACCAAGAGUGUCCAUAAAAAGAACGCCCAAAUCUGACAUCGUAUGAGGAAGUUAUGAUUUUUCGAAGUUUCGACUUAGCAGUGUACAGCCCGGAGUUCGAAUAUUAGAUCGAGUGGUUUUUAGCCGACACAACCAAAAUGAGAAUUGAAGAACUCGUUAAUAGUAGCAUAACGAUAAAAAGACAGACGAAAACGGAAGUCGGAUGAAGAAGUUAUGAAUUUUUAACGGACAAACCCUGUCCCGACUUGUUAAAAUUUAACUUUUAAAAUAAAUCAAAAUUAGUCGACAGAGUCUAAACGAAAUUUGUAUAGUACGUUCCCGCCUACGCGUGGAUAUAAAGAACGUCGAAAACGGAGCUUGUAUGAGAAAGAUAUGAAUUUUAGAAGUCGGGAAGCAAAAUUGUGAAUCUGCGAGAAGGUUGAUGACGGGGCCGCAUCUGCUCUGUUGCUUGUUGCCCAAGGCUUCGCUUCGGAUCUUGACACGUCGCAUCUCGGACGCCCAACGUUCACAUCCGAUGCCCCGCGUACGAGUACACCUCACGUACGAAGUCCCUACGUUGCGCAGUCUAGCCUUGCUCGGUUUAGAAGAGUCUACGUCGCCCCACCGAAGUCGCGCCAUCUGUCACCUUAUCUGAAGCUACGUCCAGCAUAGCCUUUCUGAGCGCCCAACGUAAAGUCCGAACUUUGGGCCUAUAAAAGGGGACCGAGGCUGCCAUCUGUUUCACACCAAAAUUCACUCUCUCUAGUUUCUUUUUCUCUUUAGGACCCCGAACCCCCCUAAACCCUAGGUAAACACCCUAGCACCCAAAGGAAGCCCCGAGGCUCCCGGUGUCCCAAGAAAAAGGAUCUUUCGGUUCGGAAACGCUGCUCCAAGCAAAUCCCGGUUUUCUAUAAAACCCAUUGUAAGUGAGCUAUGCCUAUGCUAUUUUUAGUAUAGGUUUUAUUUAAUUAUAGUAACGUUAUUAGAAACUUAUAAUGAGUACUUGGGCUAUUAUUAUGGGCUAUAUAAAUAUUGUUUAAUGUUAUAUAUUAGUAAUAAUAGCUAAAAUAUUAAUUAGCUACGGUUAACAUUAGACUAAACCCUAGUGGUAUUGAUACUAGGUUUUGUCAAGGGAAAUUGUUUAGAGAUAACGAAGCGCCGUCCGAGUACCGAGUCACCACCUUAAUAGGGGAGUGCAUAGUUACUUUCAUCUUACACAUACAUAUGAAGUAUUUUAUUUAAAUUAUGUGUUGUGUGUGCAUAUUAUCUGUAUACUUGCUAUCUAUGCUGGAUGAACAAAUUUAUACAUGUUUUAAAUCAUUUAAACUGUAUAUGUAUUUUAUAUCUACAAAAUGUGUUGGUUAAACUUGGGUAGAUGUAAGAGUUGUUGUGUGACAAAAUAAAAUAAUGUGAGGCCUCGUUAUAGAUGUUAUUGAUGACCAUUGACCCAGUUAUCUAGCGGAGUAUAGAUGACAACCACAGACUAUUGUAGACAGUCCAAUGGAACACUAGCAGGCUCGCAACCUGUAGGUGAUUAUUUGAAUUGUGUGCUCACCAGUAGUACUCUAUCCGCCACAUGGUUGCCUUAUUUGACAUGAAUUGCUAAGGAAUCCCUGAAGCAUGUGUUGUCACCACGAUGAAAGUCCUUAGACUAGGUCCCUUGUGUUGGAUGUUUUAGGGACGUAUAGUGAGGAUAACGGGAACGGGUAAUUGGGUUUGUUUGGUUUGAUAAAGUUACUAAAUUUAUUUAUUGUGGGUUGAAAACCCUAUGUUCUCACCCGGAUCCCAAGCCUGACCCACUCAGUUUCUUGUAUAACAGGUAGUGGCGCAUGAGCAUAGAUGUUUGGAUGAGAGAUAAGGGAUUAUAGGCCUGUAAAUACGAAAUAAUGUAGUAAGGCUUAUGUUGUACAGUUUAUGGUUUUGAUUUGUAUCGAACAUGACAUCCCGAGUCUUUUAAUGAAAUACAUUUCUACGGAAAUGUUUUGAUAAAUCUUUAUCAUAUUUUUUUUUGGGAACAAAUUCCGCAACUCUUCUAUUUAAAAUGUUACUCUUAGUUUCAAAUAAAGCAUAAACAAAAUCGGUCUUUUUUGGCUGUGAAAAUGAGGAUGUCAUAGUUGGUAUCGGAGCAUUAGAUUAAGCGAACUAGGAAUUUGUAGGAUUUCUAGGCUUAAACUUAGAAUGCUAAGCGAUGAUUGUGAGAUGUGAGCACUAGCUUCUUUUAGGAAUUAUUCCUAAAAUACUUUUAUGUGCUAAAUGCUUUGUGCCUGAUAUGUUGCUAUUUGUUCGGAUCUAUGGUCUAUUGCCGACCGGAUCUGGAAACCUUAUGUAUUUAGGAUUCUAAACGUACGACUACGAUACUAGAACUAACAUGUAAAUGUUUCAGAGGGAUAAGGAUGAUUUAAAUGACCAUCUUAAAUAAAGGUCUAAAUUGACCUUAUUCGGUGUAUAAAUCAAAAUGGCGAGAACUCGUAGUGGAGCCGAGAAUGCAAAUGGAAACAGAAACCAUCCUCCAAUGAUUGAACAAAUACCGGUUGUGGUAGCCGCUCCUGAGCCAUUAACAAUGGCCGAAGUGCAAGCAAUGAUCCAGAUGAUGUUGCAUCGUCAAAUGGAGGAAACCAGACGUUUUCUCCAACAGAAUCGAGAAGAAGCUACCAUACCGAUCAAACAACCCAAGUUGAACGAAACGCAGUAUGAGGAGGGGAACUACAGUGGGAUCGUUGGUCAAGUCAACCCCCCAAUUGUUUGACAAAACAACCAAGAUGACAGAGUCGAGAGGAAUGGAUGCAAGUACAAGGAUUUUCUGACUUGCUAACCAUCGACUUUCACUAGAAAGAAAGAUCCGAUCGGAGUCAUGGAUUGGAUCUCGGAGAUGGAAUUAGCUUUCAUGAAGUGUGGUUGCAGAGGCAAGAUACAGACCACCUUUGCUGUACGUCAGUUCCAAGGAGGCGCUGUGCGUUGGUGCAAUACCCUGGCGAAGUAUCUAAGCCCCAAUGAGCCCCUGCAACUGACAUGGGCAGAGUUUUUGGUGCAUAUCAAACGAAAGUACUGCUCAUCCAGAAACUUGCUUGAGUUAGAGAACCAAGUCCUAACCUUGAAGAAAGGAAGCAUGUCGAUUGAUGAGUACACCAACAACUUCACAUAGAAGAUGGAGUUCGCCUUGCGUCUUGUUCCGGAUGAGCUGACGGAAAUCGACAAGUAUGCAAAGGGACUUUCAUGGGAGUACGCGGUGCCAGUGCGUCAAGCACCUACUAUGGAGGAAGCUAUCUAGGCUGCCAAGUCUGUGGAGGAUAUGAUUAAGGGAAGAGCUACCAGCAAGGUUGAGGUUGGCGAGAAGAGGAAAUUUGAAGGGUCUGCUAAACCCAACAAUAAGAAGAGCAAGUUCUGUUCAAAGAAGUUCGGGGGAGGAUGAAAUGAAUCGAAAUGGUGCGAGAAGUGCAAGAAGAAGCACUCGAGGAAAUGUAGCGAGGAAGUGACCUGCUACAAAAUGUGCGAAGACGGGGCAUUACGCUAAUGAGUGCAUUGCCAGUAAAAGGGUGUGCUACGAGUGCCGUCAGGAAGGACACAUUGCAAGGGAUUGCCCGAAGAAGAAAGAGGCGGCAAGGCCCAACAUUCCACCAAAGCAGAAGGCGAGAGCCUUCCAGAUGACGCUCAAGGUUGCGAAGGAGGCAGCAGACAUAUUAGUUGUGUGUGACUAUCCGGAAGUCUUUCCCAAAGAUCUUCCUGGAUUACCGCCUUAUAGACAAGUGGAGUUUCGGAUAGACUUGUUACCAGGGACACCACCGAUAGCAAAAGCACUGUACUGAUUAGCACCGACAGAGAUGAAGGAGCUUAUGAUGCAACUUCAGGAGUUGUUGGACAACAGUUUCAUUCGACCUAGUUCAUCACCCUAGGGAGCUCCAGUGUUAUUCGUGAAAAAGAAGGACAAAAUCAUGAGAAUGUGUAUAGAAUAUCGAGAGCCGAACAAGGAAACGGUGAAGAACAAGUAUCCAUUGACAAGGAUUGACGACCUAUUCGAUCAGCUACAAGGUUCGAGCUACUUCUCAAAGAUCGAUCUUAGGUCAUGAUAUCAUCAUCUAAAGGUAAGAGAGCAGGAUAUUAAGAAGACUGCAUUCAAAACAAGAUAUGGACACUACGAGUUCUUGGUUACGUUAUUUGGACUAACCAAUGCUCUAGCAACGUUCAAGGAUUUGAUGAAUAGGGUUUGUAAACCAUUCCUUGAUAAAUCUGUGAUAGUGUUCAUAGAUGACAUUCUCAUCUACUCGAAAAUCCAGGAGGAGCAUGGACAACAUCUACGAGAAGUGUUGGAAGUCUUGAAGAAGGAGAAGUUGUAUGCAAAGUUCUCCAAGUGUGAUUUUUGGAUCCGAGAAGUCCAAUUCUUGGGUCAUGUGGUUAACCAAGAAGGGAUAAUGGUUGACCUGACAAAAAUCGAAGUGGUGAUGAAGUGGGAAUGACCAAAAAGUCCCACAUCCGACGCCCCGCGUACGAAGUCCCUACGCUGCGCGGUCUAGUCUUGCUCGGUCCAGAAGAGUCCACGUCGCCCCACCGAAGCCGCGCCAUCUGUCACCUUAUCCGAAGCUAUGCCCAGCGUAGCCUUUCUGAACGCCCAGCGUAAAGUUCGAACUUUGGGCCUAUAAAAGGGGGCCGAGGCUGCCAUCUUUUUCACACCAAAAUUCACUCUCUCUCUAGUUUCUUUCUCUCUCUAGGAACCUAAACCCCCCCUAAACCCUAGUUAAACCCCCUAGCACCCAAAGGAAGCCCCGAGGCUCUCCAAGACCUAUGAAAAAGGGUCUUUUGGUUUGGAAACGCUGCUCCAAGCAAAGCACGGUUCUCUAUAAAACCCGUUGUAAGUGAGCUAUGCCUACGGUAUUUUUAAUAUAGCUUUUAUUUAAUUAUAGUAACGUUAUUAGGAAUUUAUAAUAAGUACUUGGGCUAUUAUUAUGGGUUAUAUAAGUAUUGUUUAACGCUUAUAUAAUAGUAAUAUUAGCUAGACUAUUAAUUAGUCGCGGUUAACGUUAGAAUAAACCCUAGUGGUAUUGAUAUUAGGUUUUGUCUAGGGAAAUUUUUUUUGAGAUAAGGAAGCACCGUCCGAGUACUGAGUCACCACCUUAACAGGUGAGUGCAUAGUUACUUUCAUCUUACGCAUAUAUAUGAAGUAUUUUAUAUAAAUUACGUGAUGUGUGUGCAUAUUUUCUAUAUACUUGCUAUCUAUGCUGGAUGAAUGAAUUUAUACAUGUUUUAAAUGAUUUAAACGGUAUAUGUAUUUUAUAUCUACAAAAUAUGUUGGGUAAAACAUAGGUAGAUGUAAUAGUUGUUUCAUGACAAAAUAAAAUAAUGAGAGGCCUCGUUAUAGAUGUUAUUGAUGACCCAAUCAUCUAGCGGAGUAUAUAUGACAACCACAGACUAUUGUAGACAGUCCAAUGGAACGCUAGCAUGCUCGCAACCUGUAGGUGUUUAUUUGAACUGUGUGCUCACUAACAGUACUCCAUCCCCCACAUGGUUGCCUUAUUUGACAUGAGUUACCGAGGAAUCCCCAAGCAUGUGUUGUCACUCCAAUGAAAGUCCUUAGACUAGGUCCCUUGUGUUAGAUGUUUUAGGGACGUAAAGUGAGGAUAACGGGAACGGGUAAUCGAGUUUGUUUGGCUUGAUAAAGUUAACAAACUUAUUUAUUGUGGGCUUAAAACCCUAUGUGCUCACAAGGCUCCCAAGCCUAACUCACUCAGUUUCUUGUAUUACAGGUAGUGGCGCAUGAGCAUAGAUGUUUGGAUGAGAGAUAAGGGAUUAUACGCCUGUAAAUACGAAAUAAUGUAGUCAGGCUUAUGUUGUACUGUUUAUGCUUUUGAUCUGUAUCGAACAUGACAUCCCGAUUUUUUUAAUGAAAUACAUUUCUACAGAAAUGCUUUGAUAAAUCAUUUGUCAUAUUUCGUUUUAGAAACAAAUUCCGCAACUCUUUUAUUUAAAAUGUUACUCUGAUUUUCAAAUAAAGCAUAAAUAGAAUCGGUCUUUUCUGGCCUUGAAAAUGGGAAUGUCACAAGUUGGAAACAAAACAUUUUGGAAAUAUUGAUGUGUUACUGGGUGAAUUGUAGACCAUGGUGUUGAAUUCCAGUUCUUCUUCUUUAUUCACUCCUGAGUUUUUAACUCAGAAGUUUCAUCUGCUAGAGUCAACAAUUCAUUCUGAAUUGGCUCCGAUUUCGAAACUAUUGAAGUUACUUCUAACGGAUGCCCCACCUGUUGUUAUAGGGUGCAAGAGGGAGAAAGAAAGGUGGUUGGAGUAAGUAAAGUCGAAGGAGCUUCUAGGAAGCCAAGUGGAGAUGUUAGUGGCCAAUGAAGACUAAUCGAAUAAUUGCGAAAACCACAACAAAGAGAUCUUUGGGAAAAGGGAUUGUUAUUGGUGGUUCAAGUUCAUCUUCAAAGCCCACAACCACUGAAGCAGAUAAAGGAAAAGGAAAAAUCUGUUGUCAUUGAAAAGUAGAAGGAAGAGAGAAAAGCAGAGAUUAAAGAUGAAAUGGAAAAACAACAAGAUAUUCAAAGUAUUCUCAGACUUCGUCAAAAUUAUCCUCCAACUCUGAACAAUGGUGGUCCCAAAAAACUACAUAGCUAUGAAAAUAUUGAAGCUAUGGUAGUUCAUGGAGAAAUGCAUGACUUUGAGAAGAAACCAAAGAAGAGUUAUGCAUGAUAACUCAAAUUUGAAUCAACUUGAUUUUCCUAUCAACAAAAUCAUGUAUCUUACUUCGGAAUAUCAGAAUGUAGACAAGUUUUAUAACAAGGAAGAGUUCCAGAAGUUAAAGUUUCGAUUUCAAGUAGUACUUGGGAAAGAAGAAGAAGAAGUGUGGUUACUCAUCAAGAUAGUUAGAGUUUUGAAUAUAUCUAAAGAGGUUUUAUUCGAGGUUGUACUUCAAAACUUUCGAUAUCAUGUGAUCAGGGCAAACAAUACCAAAUUCACCUUUACUGUUGAUGAAUUUCCUCUUAUGAAUCGGAAUGACUUGAUCUCGGUCAUGAAGAUUAUUAACAAACCAUGAAAUGAAACUUCAGGGUACAAGCAAAGAAGAUUACUUGCUGAAUUAGCUAUGACAAUGGGAAAAGAGAUAAUUUUACCUCAAUCAAUCUUGAAGAGUAAAGCUGAUUUGCAGCCUUAUGAUGAUGGAGAGAUUUGUCUAAGGCCACUUGGAAUAGUUUUUGUUGGAAGAAGCAAGAAGGGAAUAAAUACAAAGUAUUUGCUUCAAGCAUGUGAUGUCGAAAUAUAUACUAUAGCUCAUUGUAUGAACCUAAUGGUUCGUUCGAAAUAUAUACUAUAGCUCAUUGUAUGAACCUAAUGGUUCAUAUGAAUAACUGUAACAAGGUUGAGUUGAAGAUAGUGAUGAAUUGGUAUACAAUGAUUAGAAGUUCGAUGCAUCGAGCAAUCCAAAUAUUAAUUACUUAGAUUCGACACUUCUCACAAAGGAGGAGAAUGUUGGGGUUCAAAGGUUGUGAGAUGUCGAAAUUAUCUUUGUUAUUUGUAAUGUCAAAUUUUGGAUAGUAUUUUUUUAAGGACUACUUUUGUAACGAAGCUUAGAUGUUAAAGUCCUUAUAAUUUUUGUGCUUUCAUUUUUCCCUAUAAAUAUGGGAAGGAUACUUUAGAGGUUAAGAAUUUUUCAUGAUUGCAAUCGUAUUCUAUUUCAAACUCUUGUAAUCAAACUGAUCAAGAAAUACAAAGUGCCAAACAGAUUAUAUUUAGAUCUCUUGUUCAAAAUCAUUAGAUACUCCGAUUUUGUUUGAUUACUUGAUUUAAUCGGAACUAUAGACAUCUAACACCCUAACAUGAUAAUCCAUGGGUCAACAUUGGUGCAUUGGAUCCCGACUCUUACUAAGAGUCCAAAGUAGGUUAAAAGACCAUUUUUUUCUUUACCGAACUUGGCCCAAGGCCAAUGCCCAAACCAACUACUCAAAAAUUCCUAAUUCCAAAAAUAGUCACCUAAAGCCCAAUUAUGGACCAAUCUUCCAAGUUGGGCCCAAAUACCUUCGUGGGCCUUCAUCCAAAAGACUCCAAACUAGAAAUUUGAUGGCCCAACUGUUGGAUUAGCUUCUAAGUCCAUAACUAUUGUUAGAACAAAGUUCUUUUAGGAUCGUAUGAUUUUAAGCAGGAUAUUAAAUAAGAACAUAAUAAAGAACACAAGAAUGGCACUGAAUAUGUCGUAUGAUUAAUGUGAUAACACCUCAGAAGAGCUCGAUAAAGAACUUCAAUCUGUAGAGGUGUUUAGGGUUACAAGAAUCUACGUAAUUAAUCAUCGUUUCAAUAUACGCAUGCACGCAUGCAUAUAUAUACAAUAACCCUAAAAGCUAUUCUAGAUAGACACGGAUGGACAGGCCCAAUCCGGAUACAAAAUAUAGGUGGCCCAAGACGCAACAUAAUUAGACUCAACAAUCUCCCCCUUUGUCUUUGGAGCCGAAACCUCAUUCCUUUUAACAACAGGAGGCUUCUUCACAGUUUUGAACACCUUCGGUAUAACUGCUAACAUAUGAUCACGAAAAGUAAUCUACCAACGAAGCAUGUCGGUAAAGUUCUUCUUAUCAGCCGCUGAGUUCUCCUUGCAUCGGUGUAUGAUAUUGAUGAUAUGCUCCAAACAGUCCAUUGAAAACAGAUGCUUAUCAGCCAGAGCAAACAGAAACCUGAGUCCUUCUCCUUUCGUGAACAUAACAGUUAGAUUUGCUGAAUCUAUUUGUCCCAGUUUCAUCAUGUUUACAUCACCUGGUUUAGGCAUCGGCUUCACAGUCGGCUUCUUAUUCAUUACCUUUGCUAUUUCCUGAUCCAUAGUUACUAGCUCAUGGAUAUAGGAGGCCAACAUUCUCUUAAGAUGAUCUAAAACCGGCUCAUACUCCCUAGGAUUAGAUAGCAGAAUGUUGUAUAGCAGAAUCCAGUCAUAAGGAUUGAGAUUAGGAAGAUCUACUAGAGAGAUUACAGACACCGUAUUUGCUGAACCACUGGUGAUUUUGAAACUGACAUUUACGAAUCUCCCAGCAGGUGAAGGCUUCAGUACCUUAACUUUUACAAUCUUUUGAGCACCCCAAGUUAAGUACUGCAGUUGACCAUACUUUAAGUAAAAAUCGAUCAAUUCCCUGUCAACCUUCGGAUGUGGAUGUGGAAACUCAACAGUCGGCUCAAAGCAUUGAAACGUAAAAGCUUUUCUGGUAAUAGGCAUAUCGAACUGCGAGUCUUUAGAGUUAUCACAAUCAAAUGAAGCAACUGGUUCCAACCAAUAAACAGAAGGAAACUCAAUAGCUUGAUUGAUAAGUGUGUCUCUGUUCCACUCAGGAAACAAAGCCUUCUUGCAUUGCAAGACAUCUUCUUCUUCCUUGGUUCUCUUUUCCUGCUCCUCUGCUUCAUUAACGACUUUCAUUGUUUCAUCAAGCUCUCUGUUUGUUUUCUUUUGUUUUAGAGCAUCAGCUAUAGUUUCAUCAACAUCACUUUCACUAUCAUCAUUAAUCCCUUUCUGCUUUGAUUAAGAACCAGAACCCGAAGCUAAAUUAACCUUCGGUUCUGUUGUGACUUUCGGUUGUGUAUAUUCUGUCUUCAUAACUGGUUUCGGUGGAACAAAAUAACGAGCACUACUCUCUCCCCCUUGUUUUGGAGGUACAAACCCCUCCGAAACACCUUUCAUUUCACUUAAAAUUGCAAUGGCACGAAGGAGUUUGGAUUAAAGAUGAUUCCGAAUAGUCAGAGUUAAGAUUGGAUCAUGCGCUUCAAGCAGAUUAGUCAGCAUGUCUUUCACAUCUCAUGCACAACUUUUAUAAACAACCCUUUGAACUUUCAACAAAGAAAUUUCUUUCUCUGCCUGGGCCAGCUACACUUGCUCAACAUCAAUUGUGGCUUGCUUGUUAGCCAAAUCCUCCUUCAAGGCACCCUCUGGUGCCAUAUUAGCAGCCAGAGCAUCAAAACGAGAAUCCACUGAGUUUAAGAAAGAAGUGGUUUCUGUUUUAAGCUUGGAGCAUACAGCCUCAAACUUAGUAGUUUCAUCAUGAAGGGACUUAGAAAAGGAGUCCACGGAGGAUUGAUAGUGAGCUGCAUGAGUGUCAACAUGAGACUUUAAUGACUCAAGAAAAAUCUAAGCUGUAUGAACAAUCUCAGAAACGUCUUUGGUAGCCUGCUUACAGGUGGAGGUAGAUUCAUUAACUGCCUUCAUAGAAUUGCCAAUUGCCUGAGUAUAAUGCUCAAUGGCUGUCUCCAGAAAUGCUUUAAGAACAACACCACCAUAGGCUUUGCUAUCGGCAAGCAAACGAUCCAACUUCUCAUGAAUGCCUUGUAGUUGUUGUUUUGUGACAGGAACAUCAGUCUCAUCAUCGGUUUGAAGUCGGUAAGGUCUCUAGUAGAUUGAGUCAAAUUCCUCAUCGUCUCCCCCAAGAGUAGCACCAGAAUCAGUGGAUAGGGUUGGUGAAGGUAGGUUGGUAUCGAUUGGAGUUGUAGUCGUAGUAGUAGCCCUUGUAUCAGAUACAUUGACUUCUACGGUGGAUUUGGGAAUGGUAGUGGUUGUGGAUUCGGUUAUAAGUGGAGAUGAUAAGGAUAUAGUAGAAAUAGGAACAGAAUGGUGGUGAUUUUGGCAAAGUUGUUGCUGGAGUGGUAAGGGGUGUAGUAACAAUGGGAACAGAAAGUGAAACAGUCUGUUUCGGUGAUUGGGUUGGAGUUGGAACUCUGUUGUGUUUUGGAGAUUCUGGGGGAGUAGGAGAUCGUGGAGGAGUAGGCUCUCGGGGUGAGACUUGACGAACCUCUUCUUCCUCACUUUGCUCAUCUGCAUUAUCUGUGCUUGGAGUAGUGUUCCCUCUAGGUCUGCGAGCCAUCUUCUUUAUCUUCUUCGGUUUCGGUUGAGAAGUAUCUCCAUCACCAGACUUGCAUUUAGAGGACUUGGACUUACGUUCCUCAGGAUCCUCUUUCUUUGAAACCCUCUUUCCUCUGUUAGUAGGUUUUUCUAGUGCAUCCAAAGCUGCUUGCUGUUCUGGAGACAGAACUCUCGGUCCAAUAGGAGGAAGUUUUCUAUAGUCAGCCAAGACAUUGCUCUGUUCUGCAACACCACGAUACAUGGUUUCAGGAAUCAUUCCAUAAUGAGGAAACUUGAGCGGAUCAGAAAGAAUAAUCUUCUUUGUAUGGAAUGUGGCAAUAGAAGCAAGUAGAGCAUCCUGCAUGAUCGGAAUCUCCAAAGAGUUAAUAGCCUUUCUUGUAAUCAGGGUCCAAAAACACCCACAUGAAAAUUCAGAAUGCCGUGUCGAUGUAUUGAGACUCUGCACCACCUGAGACCAGAUUAUUGAGCCAUAAUCAUGAUUGAUCUCGUUGUAGAGGCCGUAAAGAAUGGCGAGAAAACCCUUGCUUGUAGUAUCGGAACCACUACAUCGUUCUGCCAAACCCUUAACCAGUAGAGUGAGCAAGCCAUUCCACUGAGAUGGUAAGCAUGAUUUCUUCACUUUGGUGAUGGUAGUUAGCACAUCGGUAUACCCCAUCUCGUACAUCAUCGAAAAUAGUUGAGAUGUGGUAAUGAAGUCUGGCGAGAUAACAGAAGAAUCUACUGCAAGAUUUAAAAUCAAACAGAACUUCAACUUUGAAACGGAGGCCUUCUUGUCAUGAAUGGUGAAGUAGAUACAAUCUUUGUUUUUGUCAUAAGUCGUCGUGGAAUAAACCUGUGAUAACAGCGACAUUGGGACUGCUUCAACCUGGGUUAGGGCAAAAACCAGGGGGAAUAUUUUAAACAUUUCACAACCUGCAACAUAUAUGAAUCAUAAACGGAUUAAGUUCAAUGAUCAUAUUUUGGUUGGGUCUAAUGGUAAGCAAGGAUGAUGAUGCUAUCUGUUCAUGUACUGAAGAGGAAGUCGCCAUUGAUGAAUGAAGAAAAUGAUGAACACUUUUUACUCGUCGUUUGAGAGACUUGAAUGCUGAUAAGUUUGAGAGAAUUGAAUGCUGAUAAAAGACAAAUAAGAUGUUCAACACUUUAUAUACCAUUGCCUGGAGAGAGAAAAUCGUGAUGAUUAUGAUGAGAUCACUAAACGUCGCCUGAAAAAUCGCGAUGUGACAGGGUGGUUAUUCCCAGAUAUACGUUAGCACGCAUGGCUUUAGAAACUGUUCAAAUUCACGCGCCUUAAUCUUAUCUUCAAUUGGCGUUUAAACUUCCACAGUAGCCCCUCGUUUGGUUACAAUUAAUAACCCAAAACUCAAACCAAACAGUAACCAGAAUGUUGGAAAAUAACAAUUUUCGUGCAUAAGAGUGACUAAGACAACGAAAUAAAUCAAAUGUGUAUGGGAUGUGAGUGAUGUCUUAUAAUUAGACAUAAAGCAGAGGAUUUCGGGCAAGAAUCACUUCCUUCAAAGUCAAGAGAGACUUGAAGUGCUUGUGUGGUUUCCCGAAAAAUACGAUCAACUGUUUGUUAAUAAACCUUGAAAGGCUUCUUUUAAUCAUAGGCUUAGGGUAGCUUAUCUUCAACCGAACUUCGAGUUUCAACAUAAAACCGAAUGUUGGAAGAAGUACCUGUGAGACCGAUGUGGUCUGGAGAACAGGUAGGUGGGUUUUAUUGUUUUAGUGACGAUAGUGGAAUCAUAAAUCUCAAAAAAAAAAUAAACUGGAUCUCUUUGGGAAGAAAUGCCUUGGUAGUAGACAAUUUCAUAAAGGAUCACACAAAAAUAAAAAGAGAGAUUUCUUCAGCUAACCAGUAAGUUCUUGAAUUUAGAAUUCACCGUCAAUUCAUUUUUGGUGUUGGAUAUUGGGUUUCACUUAGCACAUGGUAAACGUAUCUAAGAUCACAAACACAGAUGUUGUGUAACCAUAAACCUCAGUGGUAAAGACCGAGAGUCUAAAGGGUUAUGUUGGUGAACCGAAAGUAGAUGGAGAAUAUAAGGAGGUGGCUAAAGAACCGAAUGUACCUUCUGCUAGAUAAUCAUGACACAAUAGAAUAACUCUUUACUGAUAUGAGAAGAGUAAGGUAGCUUAGACUGGGAAUAUAAAUUAGCCUGAUUUAGAAGAAACGAUGGGUGUUAAUCAAAUCAUUCAGGCCCGCUCAAGAUCGUAGAGGCUUAAGACAACAUGCAGCAUCAUGCUUUAGGGACCCUUAACUAGUUCAUUUUGAAAUUGAAUCUUACUUCCUUAUAUCCACAGUCGAUUAUAUGGGUAUUUAUAUCACCUACGAAAAGUAAAGAAACACACCAAACAAGCCAAACAGACAAUCAUACGAGUCAAAUAAAAAAAUUUAAAAAAAAAAAUAAAUCUGAAAGAUAAAAUAUUUUUGGAAUUUUGAAAUUUUCUAAAAAAGAAUAAAAAACAGAAUGAUCAAAUAUUUUUGGAAUUUUUGAAAUUUUCUGAAAAAGAAUAAAAACAGAAAGAUAAAAUGUUUUUGGAAUUUUGAAAUUUUCUGAAAAAGAAUAAAAACAGAAAAAUAAUUAAGUUCAAAUCAAAAGAGAUAUAUGUAAAAAUAUACAACCGAAACCUUAUUUUAAAUUAGUGAAGCAAAAUAGAGCAAGCGUUCGGUUCAUUUCGGUCCCAGAAAAUUACGAAGCCGAGAUAGACCGAGCUUUCUGUCCAUUUCGGUUCCCUAAAAGUCUAGAGCCGAACUAGACCUAGUGUUCUGUCCAUUUUGGUUGUCUAAUUUUAAUAAGAGUUUUGAGGAUUCGGUAAGGCUUUAGUGAAGAUGUCCUUGUAAGAUUUUGUUAAAGGUUGCUUCUGGUAAGGCUUUAGUGAAGAUGUCAGCCAGUUGAUCAACAGAUCGUACAAAGUGUACUUCCAAGUUCCCAUCUUCUACAUGAUCCUUGAUGAAAUGAUACCGAAGUGCAAUAUUCUUGGUUUUUGAGUGUUGCACUGGAUUAUGACAAAUCCUAAUUGCACUUUCAGAAUCGCAGUAGAGAGGAAUCUUCUUCAUACUUAGCCCAUAAUCUCUUAGUUGACUUUGAAUCCAAACCACUUGAGAGGUGCAGGAUGCUGCAGCAAUGUAUUCUGCUUCGGCUGUGGAUAAUGAAACACAGGUUUGUUUCUUGGACUGCCAACUAACAAGUUUCAUGUCAAGAAAUUGGCAUCCACUUGUAGUACUCUUUCUGUCCAGUGCACAUCCUCCUAGAUCAGCAUCAGAGAAGGCUUGGAUGAAGAAUCCAGAUCUUGCAGGAUACUAGAGACCUAGAGAUGAAGUUUUCUUCAGAUAUCGAAAAAUGUUCUUCACAGCAAGCAUGUGAGGUUCUCUAGGAUUGGCUUGAAACCUGGCACAGUAACAAACAGCAAACAUAAUAUCUACUCUACUAGCUGUUAGAUACAUAAGGGACCCGAUCAUUUGACGAUAAAGUGUUAUAUCCACAAUAGGUUUCUCCAAAGAUGGGGUUAGCUUAGUGCCAAAUGCCAUAGGAACCUUCACUUUUGAGUCACCCUUCAUUCCGAAUUUUGUCAGUAAGUUUUUGGUGUAUGCUUCCUGGUUUAUAAAGAUACCUUCUGGUCCCUGUCUAAUAUUCAAACCAAGGAAAAAGUUAAUUGGACCCAUUGUGCUCAUUUCAAAUUUAGUCUCCAUCAACUUCCUGAAUUCAGCUGUUAAGCUAGGAUUCGUGGAGCCGAAGAUGAUAUCAUCAACAUAAAUCUGAACAAUCAUCAAAUGUUCGCCUUCCUUCUUACGAAAGAAGGUUGGGUCAACCGAACCUUGUUUAAAUUUUGACAGUUUCAAGAAGCGAGUUAGCGUUUCAUACCAGGCUCUCGGUGCUUGUUUUAACCCAUAGACAGCUUUAUCCAGCACAUAGCAGUGAUAUGGGUAUUUUUCAUUCACAAAACCAGGCGGUUGCUCAACAUAAACGGUUUCUUCUAAUUCUCCAUUUAAGAAAGCACAUUUGACAUCCAUUUGGAAAACUUCGAAGUUCUUGUGAGCAGCAUAUGCAAGAAAGAUUCUGACAGAUUCUAACCUUGCUACUGGAGCAAAGGUUUCUUCAUCAUCUGUCCCUUCUUCUUGACAAUAACCUUUUACAACUAACCGAGCCUUGUUACGAAUGACAUUCCCUUCUUUGUCCAGCUUUCUUCUAAACACCCAUUUCAGCCCGACAAUAGAAGCAUCUUUUGGUGUAGGAAUCAACCUCCAAACUCUAUUGCGUUCGAAUUCAUGGAGCUCAUUCUGCAUUGCUUGAACCCAAUCUGAAUGAUCAAGUGCAGCAUUUACAGUUUUCGGCUCAACUUUGGAAAUAAAUGAAUUGAACAUACAAAAUUCCACUUUAGAGAAUAACGCAGUUUGUUUCGCCUUUAGAUGAGAUCGAGUAAGAACACUUUCUAAGGUUUCACCAAUAAUUUGUUCUUUGGGAUGGUCAUUUGUCCAUUUUACUAACGGAGGAUAGCUUGGAUCAUAUUCUGGAUUCAAUUCAACUUCUACUUCUAUUUCAACAUCUGACAGAUCACCCUCACCUUCUUUAGUAGAACUAUUACUUUCUUUCUCCUUCUCCCCCUCGACUGGCGAAGUGAAAUUUCUGUCAGCAUCAUAGUCUGCAUUUCUUGUGGAAGUUGGUUUCCCCCCCUUGAUUUGAUUAUCACUUGGUUUUUUUGGAUAAGUGUUUGCCCUAUCAUCUGAACUUUUAGAUGUAGGAUCUGAACUUGGAUUCUCCCCUUCACCAGAAGCUCCGCUUGUCUGUGAGGUUGUAGAGCUCUCCCCCUGGAACGUUGAAUCGUUGUUUCGAGAGCCUGUUGAUGGGUUUGUACUUGGUGGUUCGCUUUCCAUCUCUUUAGUAGCUUCGUCUAUGAUCUUCUUGAGAGUAUCGAGUUUGUUAUCUGAUGCCGUUGCCUCUGAAUGAAUUGCCUUUUCUGGUUCAUCGAAUAGCCGAAUGUAUUCCUCAAACAGGUUGGAGAUUGGAGCCGAGACCUGUCCAGAUUCUAGGAAUAUGUCUCCUAAGGCACUUUCAGUCCUGUGAACCUUCUGCAUAUAAUUGUCAUCGAAGGUGAAAUAAUAAGUCUCUUCAAUCAUUUUGGAACGCUUAUUCAACACCCUGUAUGCUUUUAAUGACAGAGAGUAACCCAGAAAUAUGCCCUCAUCGGCUUUAACAUCAAACUUAUAUCAGUUCUCUUUGGAAUUAAAAAUAAAGGACCUUGAACCGAAGAUAUGGAAAAAUUUUACAUUCGGCUUCCUAUUGUUGAUGAUCUCAUAAGGAGUUAUUGAGAAUCUCUUGUUGAGAAAGGACCGAUUCUGAGUAUAGCAUGUAGCGGCAAUUGCAUCCGCCCAGAAGUAUAAAGGUAGAGAAGCGAAACUUAACAUGGUUCUGGCUGCUUCACAUAACGAGCGAUUUCAUCUUUCAACAAUCCCAUUCUACUGUGGUGUAUAAGGUGCCGAAAAAUUGUGAGUUAUCCCCUUAUCAGCCAGAAAGUCCUCAAAAUCCUUGUUCUUGAAUUCCAGACCAUUGUUACUUCUGAUCUUUCUAACCGUUUUCUUUAGUUGUACUUCUAUUUGCUUGAUGAAUGCCUUCAGCUUGGGAGUUGCAUCUGAUUUCUGUUUAAGAAAGAAAACCCCAGUGAAGCGUGAAAAAUCAUCUACAAUAACAAGAAUGUACUUACUUCUACCAAUACUCUCUAUAGCAGAAGGUCCACAUAAAUCAAUGUGUAACAGUUCAAGUGCUUCUACUAUCUUAGUGUUGAUGCGUGUAGGGUGGCUUUUUCUGCUCUGUUUACCCAUCUCGCAUGCUGCACAUAAAUGCUCAUUUUCGAACUUGAGAAGAGGAAGGCCUCGAACGUGAUCAUCAAUUACUAAUUUGUUGAUUUCUUUGAACUUCAGGUGUGAUAGACGACGAUGCCAUAACCAGCUUUCAUCGGUGUUUGCCUUUGACAGCAGACAGAUAGCUGGUGUUCCUCGAAUUGGGUUAAGAUUCAGAAGGUACAUCUCUCCCUUUCGUCCAGAUAUCAGCAGUACCUUCUUGGAUUGUUUUUCCAUUAUCUCAGACCCCUCAUCAUCGAAUGAUACUUUCAAACUCGUGCCAACAACUAAUUGUGACACGCUGAUGAGAUUGUGUCGCAAUCCUUCUACAUAAGCCACCUUUCUGAUCGAGAAGUCUCCAUUUGUUAUCAUGCCGUAUCCUUUGAUUGUUCCAUAGGAAUUGUUUCCAAACUUCACAGACCCACCAUCUUUCAGGGACCAAAACUCUCUUAGCUCCUCCUUCCUUCCUGUCAUGUGACGCGAGCAGCCACUGUCUAUAUACCAUUCGUCGUCAAACUGCUCGUCAUUGAUUACCUGCAAAUUCAAGCAGAUUUAGGAACCCAAAGUUUCUUGGGUCCUGGUGAGUUUUUCAUAGAGAAAGGAAUAACUGCAGAAACAUUAACUAAAAAGGUUCAUUUAAUGAGAGUGGUUUGAUCUUUUCUUUUAAUGGUAUACACCUUGAUUUUAGUUUUGUUCUCUUUAAAUUUUAGUGUAUCAGUUAGGGUUAUUUUUUAUGGUUUAAGAUUUGUCGUUUGAUUCCUAGGUUUAGUGGAGGAUUUCUUAUUAUCCUUCACAAAGUCUGAUACCAGCUUUCCUUUUCCUUUGAUGUCCUUUAAAGAAUUUGUUUCAACUUGGGACUUGGAGGAUCUAUUACUAGGUUUGGGACCGAAUCUAGAUUGAGGACCGAAUCUAGGUUGAGGACCGAAAGUGGGUUCAGGACUGAGACAUGACUUUCGGUUCUGGGAUUUGGAAUGGUAGGAAUUUGGACUGAAAUUUUCCUUCAACUUUUCCUUUCCCUUGUUCAUGGAUUCUUUCCUGAGAGGCUCAUAGUUGGGGUUUUGAGAAUUCCAAAGCUUUUUCCUUUCAUUCAGAUUUGUGGCAUAUCUCUGAUUUCUCAAGCGUUUCUGUUCAGCUAGCUCCUUCUGAGAUUUGUGAAUAUUAAAGCUGGCCUUUGCUUUCUCCUUCUGAGUUGCAUUUGUCUUACUUUUCAUUUUAGAUUCUGUGUUCUUCUUAGUUUGAACUUUCGGUUCUUCCCUCUUGAUUGGAACAUCAGAUUCAACCAUUGGUUCCUCAGGAACAUCUUUGGUUCCACUUGAGCUUGGAAUAUUGAAACUGGAGGGUUUGUUGAUAGGCUCUGGUAUGUAUCUACCUUUGACUCUCCAUGUGGUUUUAUCAGAUAGUCCCACAGUCUCGUCUGCGUUGUCAAUAGGAGCAAACCAAAAAUAGUCUUCGCAUCCUUCAGCAUUUUCUUUGUCAACUAUGAGUCUUAAUUCUGCCGUUUGCCUUUGAGUGACCCCAGUCACAGCAUAAACCAGAUAUGGCACGGUCUGAACCUUUUGAUAGACCACGGCCUUUUCCUUGAGUUUUAGUUUCUCUUCUUUUGACAGACGAGCAAACUCAAUGGAGUUUUCUGAUAUAAGUGGUUUUUCAUUCUCGGUUUCAUGUUUCAUAAACUUCGAGCAAUCAACUUCAUCGUCUACUGAGAUUUCACUCAUCUCGCUUUCCGUAUCAAAUUCAGACGAAUUGUCUAAGUUUAUUUUAUUAUCUUGAACAAUUUUAGCAUUUGACAGAUCGAAUGUUUGUAUAGUUUCAGUUUUAAUCUUUUGCCUAUCAUUUUUAUCUAUGAUAUUUUUUAACAUACUCUUAUGUUCCUUAGAAUCGAUGAAGGUUUCUAUUUUAUCCAAACCUAGGCUAUACGAACUUGAUGUCUCUUCAGAGGACACCUCUGAUUCACGUUCUGCUGUAACUUCAUCUUCCUUAAAUUCAAGAAAGGGCAAAAUCAUUUUAUGAUUUUUCUUGCCAAUUUCACAGCUUAAAUGUAAUUGAGCAAUGUUAGUAUAAAGACGCUUCGCAACUAAACAGAAAACAUUUCUUUGUUUUAAUACCUUUAAAUUGUCCCUUUGCAAAUAUAUACAUUCAUCCCUAGGUCUAACUAACUCUGCUUCCUUCAGCUCAAUCCACAUUCUCCUUUCCUCACUCUUUGAAGACACCCUGCUGAGUUGGUCAGUGGGGUUAGAAUUUGCUAAGCGGGUUUGCAUGAGGCUACUACUUAGGUUAGAAAAUUUAAAGUUUAAUUCAUUUAAUUCUUCUUGAUAAUCAGUUUUUGAGAUUUUAAGAGACUCAAGGAUAGAAUGUACCUUUUUGAUCAAUCGAUCGCAGUCGUUGAUCUUCUCACUCACCGGCUUGGCCGAAAAGCACUUGUUAUCUGUUAGGUUCGGUUCCGUAUCAGCACUUUCGGUUGAUGGACCAGCAGUGAUGAUAAAGCACUUUCCACCCGAACCUUCAUUCUUUGCCACAUAUGCCUUUCCAUGAGUGGGCCUUCUUACCUCCUCGUCUUCAGAUUCGGUUGACCAGACUUCUACGCCUCCGAACUCAUCUUCCCUUGCAUUCUCCUGUACUAUUAAGGCAUUCAUCGAGCUGUUGGAUGCCUAUUUCUUCUUUACUUCUUCUAAUUUUCGCAUAUAAUACACCUCAUCAUCUUCACCUUCUCUUUUCUCAGCCAUCUUUCUCAACAUUCAAUCUUUGGCAAAAUGGUUCUUGCCGUGACAAUAGUUGCAGUCGUAUCCAGAGUCUCCUGCAAGCUUGCUCUACUUUUUCUCUUCAUCCUUUUGAGAGGAGACUUUCGGUUAAUCCUUCAUCUUCUAAGAACUAUAACUUCCCUGCCAGUUUCGGUUCUUGUUGAUGGGAAAUUUUCUCCUUGCAAAUUUCUUUGGAUUUGUGAUCAUCAAGGCAUACUCCUCACUUGUGAGGUUGCAUUCUGACAUGUCUGACUCUUCUUCUUCUUCGGCAGUACUUUUUCCUUUAGAAACAAGAGCCAACGAUCCCACACCAUAGAUUACUUUCGCUUCCUUGGUUACAACACUUUCAUGAGACUUUAGUAUACCAACUAGUUUCGCCAGCGAGUAUGAUUUCAACUGUUCAUGCGCUUUCAUAUUGGAAACCACUGCCAUCCAUUCUGGUCUUAGCCCGUUCAUGAACGUUACCUUCUGCUCGAUCAGCUUUCUCUCUAUCCAAUGCUUGAUCAUCUUACUGAGGAGAUGAUUAAACCAAUCAAAGGUCUGUAUAAGCAUCUCUUCAGGUUUCUGUUCGAAAACUCCAAAUUCUAACAGCAAUAGAGUUUGAAUGGAGUGUUCCAGGUCUUCAUCAGUUGAGUAAAGUACCUUCAACCUAUCCCAUAUCUGUUUAGUUGUUGUGCAUGAACCUACUAGCUGAAAGGUGUCAGAUUGCAGGGCGAAUCUUAUCAUUCGCAUGGCUUUAACGUUACACAAGAGCUUGUCCUUCUCAUCCUGUGGCAUCUUCCCAACAUCUAUCACCAGCUUGUUGUAAUCCGUUUGCGACUUAACAGUCGUGUUUGUUCCCGAAUGUACAAACGGUCCACGAGUGAUAGCUUCUUAGAUGAGAUAGCCAUUGUCUUCAGAUCCAACCACGUAAUCUUCAAAGUGAUGAGCCCAUACUUCGUAGUCUUGAGUAUAGAGUAUGGGUACUCUGGUUGUUGAUCCGAUGUUGUAUGACAUGUUUAUGGGGUUUGUAUGCGAAUCAUCGUGAGACAUGGUGAGCUGCUAGAAUCAAACCUGUAAACUUGAGAUUAGAGUUUUAUAAAAAACAGAGUUGUCAUCGAUAUGAAGACGACAACUUCUAUUUAUACGAUUAAAGCGGAAACCCUAAAGUAUUAUGAAUACAUAAGUAAUGUGUAUUGAUUACACAAUCUCCUACUCUGAUACCAAUUGUUAGAACAAAGUUCUUUUAGGAUCGUAUGAUUCUAAGCAGGAUAUUAAAUAAGAAUAUAAUAAAGAACACAAGAAUGGCACUGAAUAUGUCGUAUGAUUAAUGUUAUAACACCUCAGAAGAGCUCGAUAAAGAACUUCAAUCUGUAGAGGUGUUUAGGGUUACAAGAAUCUACGUAAUUAAUCAUCGUUUCAAUAUACACAUACAUGCAUGCAUAUAUAUACAAUAACCCUAAAAGCUAUUCUAGAUAGACACGGAUGGACAGGCCAAAUCUGGAUACAAAAUAUAGGUGGCCCAAGACGCAACACAAUUGGACUCAACAACUAUAAUUGGUAUGUACUUGACCCAAGUGUAGCAUGGUCCAAUUGGGUUGCAUAUCAUCAGGACAAUUUGAUCCGAUGGACUUUUGAGCAGAAGUUAUUUAUGGUUUAUUAAUAUAUUAUAAGUUCUAAUAUAUUAAUAUGAAAUCAUAUUAUUUAUAUUAUUGAUUAAGAAUUAAUUUGGAAUUAAUUUUGUGAUCAAAAGAGACUAGUUAAAUAUAAGGAGUUGAUUUGGUAAAUCAUUCAUUCUUAUAAAGUGAGCUUAUGAUUCAUAACUCUUCAUGUUGGGCUAAACCCAUGUGGUAACCCAUGGAUACUCCAUGGAGGUUUUAACCCAUGGAGCAUGAGGGAUAUGGAAAGUCAUUAGGGUUUACAUGGUGUAACCCUAGUUCUCUACACUAUAUAAGAACCCCUCUAGCUCAUGAAAUUGGCACUUAAGUGGAAUACUAGAGGGCUAGCUGAUUUGUGUGUGGAAGGAGUCUCUUCUCAAGUUAUCCUUUGUUCAAGAUGCAUUGUGAUUCAAUUUGAGGCAUUCAUACUAUUGGUGCUAAUCUCUUAAAGGCUAAAGGUUCAAGGUUUCCAACAAGCUACAAGAAAAGGGUAUGUUAUCUUACUUGUUUUAUUACCCAAGUAUCAGGUUUUGUAUACUAGUUAGGGUAAUACCUUGGAAAGUUCAAGUUUGCAUGUAUAAUAGAGAAAACAUAUAUCAAAGGUAUUUAGGGUUGCAUGUACACCUUAGGAGUGAGCGGUGUAUUUUCAUCGGCCACCCAAAGAAAUCCUUUGGUUACCUCUUCUACAGACCCAGUGAAAAUGUGGUCUUUGUGGCAAGGAGAGGGACUUUCGAGAGAGAGAAUUUAUAAGCCAAGGAAACAUUGGGAGGAAAAUUGACCGUGAAGAACUUCAAGAGUCAAGCAGUGAAGGAACCUCAAACCUUAGCAAUCAACCUGAGGAGGAAACUCAUGUUGAUGAGUCCGUACCUCUAAGGCGUUCCACAAGAGUUAGGAAUCCACAUGAGCCUUACUAUGGUUUUCAUAUUACUGCGGAAGGUGAUGCAUUUAUCAGUGAUAGUACAUUGGUAAAUUUGGAUGAGCCUAAUAACAUUAAGGAAGCCAUGGCAGGCCCUGAGUUUGCCAAAUGGAAAGAGGCCAUGGAUAGGGAGAUUCAAUCCAUAUAUGACAAUCAAGUUUGGAACUUGGUUGACAAUGUAUCGGGUCAUAAGACAGUCGGGUGCAAUUAGAUCUUUAAAAAGAAGACCAACAUGGAUGGAAAUGUACACAUUUAUAAAGCACGACUAGUUGCGAAGGGCUUUACUCAAUCUCCGGGAGUUGACUAUGAUGAGACCUUCUCACUAGUAGCGAAGAUUAAGUCUAUUAGGGGUAUGUUAGCCAUAGCUGCAUUUCAUGAUUAUGAAAUAUGGAAAAUGGAUUUCAAAACCGCUUUCCUUAAUGAAAAGUUGGUUGAGGAUGUUUACAUGAGUCAACCAGAGGGUUUUGUUGAUGCAAACCACCCAAAUAGAGCGUAUAAGCUUGAGAAAUCCAUCUAUGGAUUAAAACAAGAAUCUCGUAGAUAGAGUCUUUGUUUCGAUGAGAAAGUCAAAGAUUUUUGUUUUUCGAGGAGCGAAGAUGAGUCAUGUGUAUAUGUUAAGGCUAGUAGGAGUAUAUUUAGCUUUUUGGUAUUGUAUGUGGAUGACAUACUACUCAUAGGAAAUGACAUCCCAACCUUGUAGGAGGUUAAAUCAUGGCUUGGGAAGUGUUUCACUAUGAAGGACCUUCGAGAAGCUGCCUAUAUCCUAGGGAUAAGGAUAUUGAGAUACAUGAGAAAGAGACUAAUUAGACUUAGUCAAAGGACCUACUUGGAUAAGGUGCUGAAAAGGUUCAGCAUGCAAGAUUCGAAGAAGGGUGAGUUACCAAUCCAGAGUAAUGCCAAACUGAGUAAGACUCAGUGCCCGAGUACAGAGGUUGAGAUAGCUGAGAUGAGUCGAGUACCGUAUGCUUCUGCCAUAGGAUCGAUCAUGUAUACUAUGACUUGUACUCGCCCGGAUGUGGCCUUUGUUUUGAGCAUGGUCAGUAGAUAUCAAGGGAAUUCGGGCAAGGUUCAUUCGACUGCGGUGAAAAAUAUUCUUAAGUACCUACGGAGGACUAGGGACUGGGAACUUACCCUUGGUGGGAGUGAUGACGUGAGAGUAGUGGGGCAUAGUGAUGUUAGUUUCUAGACUGAUAGGGAUAAUUUAUGCUCUCAGUCGCGCUGGGUCUUUACCCUAAAUGGAGGAACAAUUACUUGGAAAAGUUCCAUGUAGGAAACAAUAGCUGAUUCAACUUGCAAAUCAGAGUACAUAGCAGCAAGCGAGGUGGAAAAGAAGGCAAUAUGGAUAAAGAACUUCAUUGGAGACCUCGGAGUUGUACUAGCUAUUAAGGAGCCUAUGGAUAUUUUCUAUGAUAAUGAGAGUGCAGUUGCCUUAGCUAAGGAACCAAUAGGAUCACGGAAAAUCCAGGCAUAUCGAAAGAAAAUACCACUUCGUUUGACCUCUGAUCGAAGAAGGACUCCUCGUGGAAAAGAGGGUAUCAUCGGAUGAGAACCCAACAGAUCCCCUCACGAAGUGACUGUGUAGGUUUAAGCAUUUGCAGCAUGUGAGGCACAUCGGGCUGAAGAAUGAUAUUAGUUUUACAGAUUAGAUAGCUAUUUCCGAAACUUGUAAAAUGUAAUUGACAUUUGAUGAUUAAAUAAAAGUUGUUGUUUAUUUGAUAUGUAAAGUGUUGCUAUCUUGUGUCAAGUGUUUACUAUUGUUUCAAUUUUGCAUGUAUUGAAUUCCAGAAUAAUUACUUUAUUCAAACUCUCCACAGACAGUCAUAUGUUGGAAGUAUGUAUGAAUCAAGACUGUCAUGAAUUGGGCUUGUAAAUGACUAAGAUGUUAGACAUAGCAAACAUUACUACAACAUUAAUGAGUGCUCAUAAGUUCUGAGCAUUGGAUUCAACCCACGCUCACUUGUAUCACUUCAUGGAAUUUAUCACGAGUGAUCGUGAGACGGUAAUAUCAUAUAAGUCUUCAAACCUAGAGAUAUGAGUUGUUGAUUAUGAUUUGGUUGUGCAUUGAUUGCAGGAAAACGCAUCAGUAACUUGAUGUUAUAAAACGUGCUUUUGUGUAUGAUUCAACAAGUUGUUAGUACAAGCAUAUGAGUCGAAGGUUAUCUGUUCGUUUUAAUCCUUGGAGGAUUAAAAGCGAUAUCUGGGCCCCUCGAUGAUUCUAUUUUGACCUAUGUAUCGGGCUUGGUCAGAACUGAUUUGAUGUGUUCGAUUAAGUUCUAUGUCAAACAAAUCGGAAAAUCGGGAAACAAACUGCUGGACAAAUCGGAAGAUCGAGUAUAGAGGCUCAGAUAGCUGAGAUGAGUCAAGUGUCGUAUGCUUCCCCUGUAGGCUCGAUCAUGUAUGUUAUGACUUGUACUCUCCCUGAUGUGGCCUUUUCUUUGAGCAUGGUCAUCAGAUAUCAAGGGAAUCCGGGCAAGGCUCACUGGACUACGGUGAAGAAAAUUCUCAAGUACCUACGAAGGACUAGGGACUGGGUCCUUACCCUUGGUGGGAGUGAUGACUUGAGAGUAGUGGGGUAUAGUGAUGCUGGCUUCCAAACUGAUAGGGAUAAUUUCUGCUCUCAGUUAGGUUGGGUCUUCACCCUAAAUGGAGGAGCGAUUACUUGGAAAAGUUCCAAACAGGAAACAGUGGCUGAUUCAACAUGUGAAUCAGAGUACAUAGCAGCAAGCAAGGCGGAAAAGGAGGCUAUAUGGCUAAAGAACUUCAUUGGAGACCUUGGAGUUGUACUGACUAUUAAGGAGCCUAUGGAGAUUUUCUGUGACAACGAGGGUGUUGUUGCUAUUUCUGAAACUUGUAAAAUGUAAAUUGACAUUUGAUGAUUGAAUAAAAGCUAUUUAUUUAUAAGUAAGGUGUUGCUAUCUUGUGUAAAUUAUUUACUAUUGUUUCAAUUUUGCAUAUUUUGACUUCCAGAAUAAUUUCUUUAUUCAAACUCUCCACAGUCAGUCAUAUGUUGGAACUAGAUAUGAACUAAGACUAUCAUGAAUUGGUUUUAUAGAUGUCUAAGGUGCUAGACAUAGCAAAUAGUUGCUACAACAUUCAUGAGUGGUCAUAAGUUUUGAGUGUUGGAUUCAAUCCACGCUCACUUCUAUCACUUCAUGGAAUUUGUCUCGAGUGAUCGUGAGACAGUAACAUCAUAUAGUCUUCAAACCUAGAGAUAUGAGUUUUUGACUAUGAGUUGGUUAUACAUUGAUUGUACGAAAACGAAUUGGUAACUCGAUGUUAUAACACAUGCCUUUGUGUAUGAUUCAACAAGUAGUGGAACAAGCAUUUAAGGCAAAGUUUAUCUAUUCCUUCUAGUCCUUGGAGGAUUAGAAGCGAUAUCUGGGCCCCUCGAUGAUUUUGUUUUGACCUAUGUACCGGGCCCAGUCAGAACCAAAUUGAUGUGUUCAGUUUAGUUCUAUGUCAAACAAAUCGGAAAUCAGGAAACAAACUGCUAGACAAUAAGUACGACAUUGUUCCAUGUAUUUGUCCGGCCGAUAUCUAGAACAGAGGAUUAUAUGAUCACUUAUCUUAAAUGGCGCAUCAUCCUAGUUUUGCGAGACAUUGAAAGAGCUACGAUUGUGGUAAAAUGAAAACGAGUACCCAACUCGUCAUGGAACCUCUUCCAAAAUCUGGAAGUAAACCUCACAUCCCUAUCCGAAACCACAGAAAUUGGCACCCCAUGUCGUGUCGUAACCUCCCUGAUGUAUACCUCCGCUAACUUCUCUACAGAGAUACUCUUCUGGAUCGGGAUAAAAUGCGCACUCUUGGUCAAUCAAUAUGUGAUGACCCAAAUCAAAUCCAAUCCGUGCGCAGUCCGAGGCAAUUACGUGAUGAAAUCGAUGGUGAUCUUCUCCCAUUUCCAUAUGGGAAUCUCCAACGGCUGCAUCUUUUUGUGAGGUCACUGAUACUUGGCCAAGACUUUCCUGGAAGUCAAGAACCUCUCCACAUACCAAGCCAUAUCCCACUUCAUGAAUGGCCACCAAUAAUCAGGACGAAGAUCUCUAUACAUCUUCGUUACCCCCAGAUGAAUGGAAAACCUAGACUUGUGCACCUCAUCCAUCAGAACUUGACGCACACCACCCAAGUACGGAACCCAUACUCUCCAAUGAAUAGUCAACAAUCCACGACUAUCAUAAUCGAAAGAAGCCACCUGACCCACGGUACGCUCACUCUUCCAGUGCUCUUCCUUCAUACCCUCAUUCUAUGCCUCUCGAAUCCACUCCAGUAGCGGGGUAAUCACGGUCAUCCUCAAACAUAUAUACUUAAUCGGAGCUGAGGGACGCCUUGUGGCUGAGAAAGCAUCGGACACCACAUUGGCCUUCCCGGAUGAUAAAGGAUCCCAUAAUCAUAAUCUUUCACCACAUCCAACCACCGGCGCUGCCUUAUAUUCAGAUUUGGUUGAUCCAUCAAAUAUCUCAAGCUCUUGUGAUCCUUGUAAAUAGUACAGCGGACCCCAUAAAAGUAAUGUCACCAAAUCUUGAGGGCGAAAACCACAACCCUUGGCUCGAAAUCAUGUGUCGCAUAAGUCGCUUCAUGAGGCUUCAGUUGCCUCAAAGCGUAAGUGAUCAGGCGACCCCUCUCCAUCAACACUCCCCCCAAACCCAUGAUCAAUGCACACAAUAAAACACAAAAUCCUCAACACCCUCCGGCAGGGUCAAAAUCGGUGCCUCGCCCAAUCAUUGUCUCAAGGUCUCAAAAGUUGCAUGCUGCUUAGGCCUGCAAGCAAAUGCGACCAUCUUCUUCGUCAACCGAGACAAAGGAAUCUUGUAGAAAUCCGGGAAAAAUCUCUGAUAAUAACCUGCUAAACCAAGGAAAUUUUGAAUCUCAGAUGGAGACCUCGGAACCUCCCACCACAUCAUGGCCUCGACCUUGGCCGGAUCGACUAGAAUACCAUUCUGGUUGACAAGGUACCCUAGAAACUGCACCUCGUGCAACCAGAAAUCACACAUGGAGAACCUUGUGAAAAUUCUCUCCUUCAUCAAAGUCUCCAGCACCUCCCUCAAGUGCUCCCCAUGUUGUUCAUGGGUCUUUGAAUAGACCAAGAUAUCAUCAAUAAGUACAAUCACAACUGACCCACCUUCAGCCUUAUAUCUGGUUCAUGAGAUCCAUGAACGCGGUUGGAGCAUUGGUGAACCCAAAAGGCAUCACCACAAACUCGUAAUGACCAUAACGAGUCCGGAAAGUCGUCUUCUGUACAUCCUCAUCUCUAACCCUCAUCUGAUGAUAACCCGAACACAAAUCAAUCUUGGAAAAUCAAGAUUCACCCUGAAGUUGGUCAAAUAGAUCAUCAAUCCUCAGGAGUGGAAAAUGGUUCUUCACUGUUACCUUAUUCAACUCCCGGUAGUUAAUGCACAUACGUUGAGACACAUCCUUCUUCUUCAAAAACAAGAUCGGUGUUGCCUAUGGCGAACUUCUCAGUCGAAUGAAUCCCAUUUUGUAACAGCUCCUAUAUCUGUGUAGACAACUCUUGUGUCCCGAGAGUAGCCAACCGAUAUGGUGCUUUGGCUAUCAGAGCCACACCUAGAACCAGAUCAAUCCUGAACUCAACCUGCCUCUCCAGAGGCACCUGUCGAGAGAAAAAAUUGAUAAGACAUAGUAACAAGAUAAUAAGUUGAUCUCAAUGGAUCUUGUUAGCUCAACAAUUAAAUUUAGAUAGGUUGUAUUGCAAAAUGCAAGGAAAGUAAAUAGCAACAAGUUUAUAUUGAUAAGCAUUAAACAACCAAAAACUUAGUUCAAUCUUAACAUGGUUUGCAUGCAAACACAAGUUAGCAUAUGGUGAACACAAUAAGUGAAGAGGGACCCGGUUGAAGUAUCAAUAAGAUAACUUGAGAUAUAGAGACGAAAAAUCUUAUGUUGAUAAGCUCUGAAUUGGUAAGUAAACAUGAAGUGGGAAGCUCUAUUUGUAGAGUCCCAAAAGUUACACAAAAUUAAUAAACUAUUACAAAGUAGCUGACUUCGGUGACCCUGAAGAGUACACCAGACUAUACUAAGAUUACAAGCAAAGUUAGUAAAUGGUAACUUGUGGCGGUCCUCAUGUUAUGUUCAUCUACAGGUAUUUUUCACGUGUUCGAGUCCAUAUUAUGACAAACAAUCUUCGGUUAGCUCUUCUCUGGUUCACAAGGCACUGAGGUCUUUGGGUCCAUCUUGGCUAAAUAGGGUCACUUUCUUGUUUCAAUAAUUUCCCCCAAAGUGACCUCUUAGCUAAGUUCUUUAUAGAUUUAUUUUGAGAAACUUGAUGAUGAUUCACCAGAAUUUCCUGACUUCAAAUAGCCAUUUGAUCCUCUUCGUAAUCUCAAACUUUACCUCUUCAAUGGUGUGUUUGGAUCUAUGCACCAAGGUCAAGGUGAUCUCCAGUUGCUUAUUAGUUAAGCGAUGAAUGGAUGUGACUGGAAUGAAGAAUUUUGGACUUGUUUUGAGACUUCUUGUACAUGAUCUGGAGCUCUAGAAAUCUUGUUGCUCUAAGGUUCAUUUCUUGAAAUCCCUUGGUUUUAGUUUGAACGUGAUCAAACUGAGGAAUAUCAAACUUCUAAGCAAGAAUAGGAUGAAUAUCUGCGUCUAUCUUUCCAAAGUCACACCAGUGAUUUAAGGAAUUCACACGCCCUUUCGAAAGUAAUCUUCAUUUUGGGAUACUUUUCUGCCUUCAGUUGGUACACCCGAGAAAUCAAGAAAAUUUCUUCAGGAUUCAAACACUAACCUUAUGAUCUGACGUAAUCACAUCCUCUCCGGGACAGGGUGUAUUGAAAGAAUUCACUCUUCAUGAAUUUCUUGACCUUGUAAUUGUUAACCCCUUCUAAUUUUUUCGUUUGACCCUAUAUCUUUAAAUUUCCCACCGUGUUUGGCAUGGAAAAUGUUCUGUCGCUCAAACCCCAUGGGGGAGCCUUCUGUCUUCGGGAAUGGUGAGCUCAAAAGAUUGAAAUAUUGGGAAUUAUUUGGAUUUUGGAAGGAUUGGAAUAUCCCAGUAGCCAUAUGAAGGAGGUUCUUCAUAUGUAAGAACUGGAAUAUAAUAUGAGUCUAGGAGUCUUCGGUUAGAGUUUACCCAUGAAUUGAUUAGAGUUUCAUCGAAGGUGGUCUCAAAUCCUUGUGCUCUCCAAAUCUCGUCUAAGAAUUUCGCAUCCCUCCAUUCUUGUUUCUUUUGAGUCAUGGCUGGAGAGUCAUCAAAGUGAUUUGUUGACAAAUAUUUCUCUAGAUUAUGCAGGUGAGGAAGAUUUGGAUUCCGAGGAAAAGAAUGAGGUGUUGACUUCUGAGAAGAACCCUGAGGAGUUGGAUUUUUUUGGUGCUCUGAAGAGGGUUGAUCCUGAUGAGGAUUGAUGGAUUUGCUAUCUGAGGGAGUCUUUGAAUUCGAUGAUUCAGAAGAUGAAAGUUUUUCAAUCCUUAUACCCUGGUUUGGAUCAGUUCCCCCUUUUGAGGAAGAAGGCUCCAUAUGCUCCUCAAACCAAGCUUUCAAAUCAUUGAUCUUUUGAAAGUUAGUGCUGAACUGAGUUGUCAUCUGAUCACAUACAGCCUUGUUUGUUGGAAUCUCCGGGUUGAAAAGUGUAUGAUAAAUCCCUUUGUUGAUAAGAAGGAUUUCAUCAACACUUUCUUUUCCCGUUAAGGAUCUCCUCAACCCUUUGAUGGUAUCUUGAAGGACCAAAAACCCUGAUUCAUAAGCAGUGUCGGUUUCAUCGAUGAGUUGCUUCAAUUUGCUUUCUUGAGCUUGCAAGGCUUGUUGAUGUUCGGUCGUGAGCUCUUUCAACUCUUUGAUAAGAUCUUUUGCCUUAGAGGCAAAUCCCUUAUGAUCAGACGUACUUUGAUUAUCAAGUUGGCAACUACCCAUUUUUAUGCAUAGAAGCGUCCUCUCAAUAGUAAAUUUCUCCUUGGUUUCUAGACUUCGAUCCGAUAAAGUAGAGAUUGUGGAGUGGGGGCUUUGGUGGUCUGCGGGGUUAGAGAAGUGACUGCAGCCAACAUCUGAUCAGCUUUGGACUGAAGAUCAAGGAAUUAUUUUCGUGAUACAGCUAAUUUCUUCUUCUUCUUCUUUUUGGGCUUAGAGGAUGAAUGUUGCGAACCAUUGGAUUCUUCAUCGUCAAGUACCACGAUGAAGUCAUCAGAUGGGAGAAGCUGUUGGAAUUCAUCCUUGUUGUUAUCAUCAAAGACAAAGGUUGGUGCAGAGCUGAUUCCAAUCGCAGUGUCGUCUUCAUUGGAGUCAUGAUCUUCAGUGUUAGGGGAGGAGGCUUUCAAGUACCAGCAAUAUCUUCCAUAUCCUGAACCUUUCGCACUGUUUUUUCCAUGUCUGACAUCCAUUGUUGAAUUUUGAGGAUAUCAUGCACUGUUUUAGCAUUGUUGAAAAAAGUGGCCCAAUACUUAACAUCAUAAAGAAGAGAUUCUUUCUUUUGUUGUUGUUCUUAAACUUCUUGAGCUUUUAUUGCCUGAAGAUCACUUUUUAAUGCUUCAAAUUUUCUCAGCCUUGAUUCUGUUGUAGGACGAUAACGAGACCAUGAAUCAUCGGAUGCAUAUCCAUAAAAUCCUUGUCACACCAAGGUGUCCAUCGGGUUCAUGGAUCAUUGCACAUUGGUGCUCGCCAUGCCUAAACCUCUUGAAUGUAAUGUUGGCGGCACAGGAUUUCCAUAGCUUCCUAGGUCUCUUUGGUCUAAAACCAAGUCUGGCCCCGACUCUAUUCUGGAUAGGGUCUCUAAAAAAGGACCCUAUAGUUCAACUGGUGUUUGUUGUGUUUAUGUGACACGAAGAAGAAUGGAGUUCAGCUCCUCGAGAGAAAGAAAGUGCAAACAUGAAGCACUCAAGACCUUAGGGCGGAAACCGACAUCCGGAUCCACUUAUGAUCUAGAUUGGGCUUUGCCUCCAUGUUUUGAUGAAACUGAUACACCUUUUUUAUCAGAGUCGUUAGAUUGGGUUGCUCAGGUGAGUCAGCGUGGACUCGAACGGCUGCGGGAGUCUUUAGAGAGACUCCAACAUCGGCCUUGUUUCGCUUUUGGCCAUGACUUGGGGUAAGUUUCAACUUCUUCAUUCUAAAGACAUCUCCGAAAUCUGAAGGCUCAUUCAAAUUGUCAUCAAUGACGUUAACUGGUGGAUCAUGGCCCUGGAUGGAGAAAGUUGAACGUGAGGAGUAGACUCAGUGGGAAUGGUUUUCUCUUCUUUGAAUCACCCACACCCUUGGAUAGAACAUUUGAGGGUGUUCGUUUGACAGCUAGGGACUUGACUCAUUUAGGCUUGAGUUCUGGGUCUUGGACUUUGGUUGACGGAGGGGGGCUUGGAUGGGUGGAGCGGUAUAGGGCAGUACUGCUCAUAUCCACAAUGUGGUCAGCCACCAAAAGUGUAGUGAGUCCAACAUAUUGAAGAAUAUGAGAGGGAAGAUGUCUAGUAGGACCGAAGAUAAAUUGGUCUCUGGACGGAAUGUACCUUUUGAGAUCUCUUGGAGAGAAGAGAUUGGUAUCAUUUCCAAGACUACGGCUUGCAUCUUUGUGAAGAUCCACCAAGCACAAGGACCAAAAUCUUGCGGAUGUAAGUUCAACCAUUUUUCCUUAGGGGCUUCUUUGCAAAAAUAUUGAAGAAAAUCCUCGCAGAGGAUGUGCCCAUUGUUCACUGGGGUGCCUGUGAAGAUGCUCCAAACAAUUUCAAGAAGAGGCUUGCCCGUAUUGUCUGUUCCUCCAGUUCUUCCUGAUCAGCACCUAAUCAUGUAAUGUCAUUCAUAUUUCCAAACAAUAGCCAAUAGUCCUUUCUUGAACUCAACAACUCCUUUGAGCUUCGCUUGAUAUCCUAUCUAGAUCAGUGUAGAGAAGACGUCGUUGGUACUGGGAGAUUAGAACUUCGUUGAAGGUAAAACCCUUAAAUUGAUGGCUUCCAGAAAUAUUUCCUUGGUCAAAACAACCAGGGAAUCGUUGAUUAAUUGGAGAUGGAUUUCUUAAGGUUUUUCGAAUGGUCUAAAAGCAGAAAACGCACACUUGAAUAGAAUGGCUUAUGGAAUAACUUUAGUGAAUGAAUCAAAAGAACAAAAAAGAGGAUGAGUGGGAAGAAACUUGAUCAUGAUAUUGAUUGAGUCAUUGUAGCUUUCAUGAUCGUCGAAGAUGGCUAUGUAGUUACCUGCUGCAAUCGAAGGAGUUAAAUCCUUGACUGUUGAGCAAGAUCCGGUAGAUUUAGUAGAGCAAGAUGCCUUGGAUUGUUUCUUUGAGAUUCCAGAUUUCACCAUUGUUGCAGAAAAAGGUUUUGAAGAACUUGCACAAAAAAAAGGUUUUUGCAAGAAAGGUGAAGAAUAGGGAGAUCGUCUGUAAGAGUUCAGAAAGCAUAAAGCUUUAUUAGGGAAGAAGAAGGGUUUUUAUGCCUCCGAAUUUCAAAUUUAAUGACCAUCAGUUUAAUUACAGUUGUUAACACAAAAGCCUUUGGGUUUUUACCAUUAUCGCUUAAAAUUAAAUAAAAAUAUUUUCUAGGAAAAGAUGAGCAUGAUGACAUAUCGUACAAUUAUGGGGUGAAAAUGGUUAUUUCGUCGAAUAAAGUAGGGAAGUGAAACGGAUGUGACCCCAAUAGUUGCUUGAUGUGAUUGGUUGAGUGAAAAAUAUUUUCAAAAAAGGAUUUCUUUUAUGGAAAUCAAUUUGUUUAUCCAUUAUCCAAAAAUAUGCCUGAUUGAGAAAAGUCUUUUGAUAGGUAACUGAAUUUUCAUAUGCAAAAAAUUGAAUGUUGAAGAAUGUUUCAACUUCGUUAAGUAGCACACAAUGAAAUUUAAUGUGUCUGGGGAAUGAUGACUUUGGGUUGUUUGAUGCGUCUGCGGGAGAUGAUAUUGUAGAGUAACUUAUUCACAAAGGUUAGAAAUACAAAGAAAUAAAGAGACCCACGACUAUGAAGUCUAGAGAGGGUAAAGGUAAGAAAAAUGCAUCAAUAAUUUGUUUUGAUAAAAGAAAAGAAGCAAUUUUACUCAUACCCGAAGACUAUGAAGUCUUCGGUCGUUACCCUUUCAAGAAAAACUAAGGGUCUGUAUUCAUCAUUCCUAGCAUUUCCAAAAAUCCCUUUAGUUUUGUGGAAUCAAGUACCUUGGUGAAAACAUCAGCUAUUUCCUCAUGAGUUGGAACAAAAAUUAGUUCAAUGUUACCUUUGAGGAUAUGGUCUUUGAUGAAGUGAUAUCGUAGCUCUAUGUUUUUCUUCUUUGAGUGGUGAAUAGGAUUGUGUGAAAUGGCUAUUACACUCUCUGAAUCACAAUAGAUGGGAACCUGCAACAUCCUGUACCCGUAGUCCAAAAGUUGUGUCUUCAUCCAAAGGACAUGAGAGCAAAAAAUAGAUGCGGCCACAUACUCAGCCUUUGCAUUGGAGAGAGAAACACAAUUUUGUUUCCUUGAAGACCAACUUACUAAUCUUCCACCCAGAAACUGGCAUCCUCCGACUUUCGAUCAAGUCUGCACUCUGCAUGAUCAGUAUCAGCAAACACCUCCAGACUGAAGUCGUUCCCUGUUAGAUACCAGAAACCCAAGGCCUUACUCUCUUUGAGAUGCUAGAAGAUCUGCUGGACUACUGUCAAGUGGGAUAGUUUGGGAUCGACCUGGUAUCUAGAACAUUAACCCAUAACAAAAACAAUCUUCGGUCGGCUUACAAUGAGCUACAUCAAUGAACCAAUUAUUCCUCGGUAUAUCUUAGGAUCAACUGACUCUCCGGCAAGGUCAACAAAGAUCUUAUACCCGAAGGCCAUAGGAACCUUCGUUGAGGAGAAAUUAUCCAUUGAUAAUUUAUUUAACAGCUUAUUUUUAUAUGUGAUGGAUGAAAAUGCCUUGAGCAAUAUGCUUGACCUGAAGACCGAGAAAGAAGUUAAUCUCUAUAUUCAUGCUUAUUUGAAAUUUGUUGGUUAUGAGCUUCGAAAAAUCAUCCACCAUUCCUUGGUAUGUUGAGCCGAAAAUGAUAUCAUCCACAUAUAUUUGAAUGAGCAUUAAGUGUUUAUCAUUUACUCUUCUGAAAAUAGUGGAAUCUAUCACACCUCGUUGGCACCCGGAAUUGACAAGAAACUUUGAAAAAGUCUCAUACCAAGCUCUAGGUGUCUGCUUUAACCCGUAGACUGCUUUCUCCAGCAUGUAACAAUGGUUGGAAAACUAUGAGAUUUCAUAUCCUGGAGGUUGGUGCAAAUACACUUCUUUUUUCAGUUCACCAUUAAGGAAAUAACUCUUCACAUCCAUUUGAUGGACCUUGAUGUUCUUAUGAGCUACAUACGCUAGAAAAAUGUGUUUGGCUUCCAUCCUUGAAACUAGUACAUAUGUUUCGUCAUAAUCAACACCCUCUACUUGACUGUACCCAUUUCUUUCCAACUACAAUGUGGCCUUUAGUCUAUGUUACCAGCUUCUAUACUUGGUUUCUUUUAAACUCAACCAAUUCUUCUUGCAUUGUUGUUAUCCAAUCAAGCUCUAGAAGAGCUUCUUUCGUGGUUUUGGGUUCGAUCGAUGAUAGGGAAGCUAUAUAAUGACAAUGAUUAGUUAAGUCUAUAGAGGAAUUAGUUGGCAUACCUAUGUAUGGAUUCCCGAUGAUUUGGCUUGGUGGGUGAUCUUUCCUCCAGUUAUAUAGACGAGAUUGUAGAUGAUAUGUAGCUGCACUCGAGGGAAUAUCCACUACUUCAGAGGACUCUUCAGGUCUAAUUGAUGAUGGUUGUUCCCCCUUGGUUUGUGAGAAUCCCGCAAACGAGUCUUAGACUAUUGGGAUUGGCUCUGCAACUGAAUUUGAAUGUUCCCACUAAACUGAUGAUGGUUCCCCCGUGAGCUAAUGAUGGUUCCCCCGGGAUGGAUGAUGGUUCCCGCUGAACCGAUGAUUGAAUUACUAUCCUUGGAUCCUCUUUGGUAUCAACUCUUUCAACUUCUUCAUCCUCUGAAUCUUCAUAGAUAGUUUAUUGAUUGGUCACUUUGUAUGUGGGUACUGGAGCAGCAUCUUCAAGUAGUGGAACCUCAAUGGUUGUAAUAUCUAAAGGAUUUAAGUUUUUCCCCUCAACCGAUGAGGUGGAAAUGUUAAAUGAGGUUCCUUCAAAAAUCGUUGUGUUGGGUCAAGAAGUGUUGCUUCUUUGGGCUUGGUCCUUAGCCCGGUUUUGUUAUCCAGUUUGGGCCUGUCCAACCGUGAUUAUUGUAUUAGGUUUAGUAUUUAAGGUGCAUGCAUGCAUCCUUAGUAAUUAUCACUUUCAUUAUUAUUCAUAGUAAUUGUACUACAAACCCUAGCUCACCUCUACAGUGAAAGUUAUUUUUCGAGCUGUGCUGAGGCGUGACAACAUUUAAAUCAUUAAGCAUUACUUUGAUUCCAUCUCGUGUUUAUUGUGUUUAUUUGUUUGCUUUACUAAUUAACCUAUUGAAGAUCUAAUCGAUCUAAGAGUUUUUCAACUCAUCAAUUGGUAUUAGCGCGGGAUACUGUGUAAUCUAUACACAUCUCUUCUGUUGAAGAAGAUCUUAGGGUUUUUCCACUUUGAUUGAUAUUGUUAGAGCUUUGAUUCACUAUUGACGUAGUUCUUUAAUAGUCGAUCUUACCAUAAAGUUGUUUACAAGUAUGAUCUUAAGCAGGUUUUGAACGAACAUCAUCAUGUCCAUGGAUGAUUCCCAGUCAAACCCAAUCAAUAUCUCCAAUAGUAUCGGAUCGACGACAGGGAAAAACCAUAUUGUACACUCAAGAUUAUGAGGUCUGGACGCAUCACUUCGAAGACUAUGUGAUUGGUUCAAAAGACAAUGGAUACUUAAUCUGGGAAGCGAUUACAGUUGGUCCAUUCGCUCAUUCAAGCACUUCAAGAACUGUUAAAACUCAAAAGGAGUAUAAUCAACUCGUUAAUGAUGUGAAAGACAUACCCCAAGAUGAGAAGGAAAAGUUUCAGUGUAACAUCAAAGAUUUCAGGAUGAAUAGGUUUGCUUUUAAUAUCAGACACAUUUCGAUUGGUAAGUUCAUGCACAACAGCGAAGGAAAUAUGGGACAGGUUGAAGGAACUAUAUUCUACGGAUGAAGAUGUUGAGCAUUCGAUCCAAACAUUAUUGCUCUCAGAAUUUGGUGACUUCAAUCAGAAGCUUCAAGAGAAGCUUAUUCAAACUUUUGAUCUCUUUAAUCAUCUCCUUAGUAAGAUGAUAAAGCAUGGGAUAGAAAGGAAAGUCAUUGAACAAAAGGUCACAUUUAUGAAUGACCUUAGACCCGAAUGGAUGGCUGUGGUGUCUACUGUGAAGGCACACGAACAAUUCAAGGCUUAUUCUUUGGCAAAGCUAGUGGGAAUAUUAAAGUCACAUGAGAGUGCAGUGACUAAGGUAACGAACGUGGUUUCUAGCAUGGGGUCAUUAGCUCUAAUCUCCAAAGGAAAGAAUGCUGCUGAAGAAAAAGAACAUGUAGAUCUUUCUGAAUAUGAUCUAACAAAUGAAGAUUAUGCUUUAAUGGUUUCAAAUCCCAAGAAGUUCAACACAAGAAGGUUCCCAGUCAAUAAGAACUGAAAAUGGCAGGGAAGCUACAGUGCUGAGAACGUGAAGGAGGAACCGAAGAACGUUCCUCAGUCUGAAGAACCAAAGAAAGAAGCAAAACUUGGUGGUGACUCAGGCUUUAAUUGUCACUAUUGUGGAGGCAAAAAUUACUUUGCCAAAGAUUGUAUGUUGAGAAAGAAGUCUAAAAAGAAUGGCGAUGAUGACAAGGAAGCGAACCUCAUACGACGAUUGGAGGAAAUAAAGAAGAAGAAAACUGGCUCUCAUAACACUAUGAAUGAUCUAAUUGUGCAGGGAAAUACUGUUGACCAUGAAUUUGACAGUGUUGAAGGUUGGUCGACUGGUUAUGAAGAUGAAGAAGUGAGGAAGCCCACUCAUGGCAGGGCUUUGUUGGUAAAAGAAAAGAAUGUUUCAGGAAAAUGUCUGAUGGUGACCUUUGAGGUAUCACAAAAGAGAGGCUACACUACUGAUGGGGGACUAGGUGAAGCGAAAAAGCAUGAAGACAAGUGUUUUGCAGCGAAGCUUGUCAGUGUGCAGAUCAAUGAAUGCGAUGAGUUAAUCAAGAAGGUACAAUUUAUUCUUGUUUCUUUAUAUAUCCCCAUCACUAACUAUGAAAAAGAACUAAAUGGAUUAAAAUCUAAAUUUUCUAGUAUAAGUGGUAGUUUAACUUAAACUCACGUCACAAACUCUAACCUAACUGAUCAAAUCAGCAGGGUAUUAUUGAAGAGUGAGGAGAGGCGUAUGUGGAUUGAGCAAAAGGAGAAGGAGUUCAUUAGGUCUAGGGAUGAAACAAUUUAUUUGCAAAGAGAUAAUUUAAAGCUUUUGAAACAACAGAAUGUUUUUUGUUUGAUUGCUAAAAGAUUAUAUUCCAACAUUACUCAAUUGCAUCAUAAUUGUGACAAAGAAAAGAAGAUACAUCAUAUGAUUUUACCCUUCCUUGAGUUCAAGGAGGAUGAAAUCGAUGCCGAUGCAUACAACUGUGAAAACGUUAUUUUUUCUGAUGAUAUCUCUCCCUCAUACAAAAUUGGUCUAGACAAAAUAGAGUCCUUUAUAAAUUCAAAAGAUGAUAAGGACACGCUCAAAAAUUUGUUGGAUGAAAAUGACAAACUAAAAAUCAAAACCGAAACAGUACAGAAAUUUGACUCUUUGAAUGGCAAGUUGAGUUCAGAAAAUAAAAUUGCUAUUGAAAACACUUAUGAGUUCAAUGAGGAUGAUGAUAAGUGUGAUAUUUAUAGAAGAUGAGGUGGACUAUUCUGAAUUUGGCAAGAGCGAACCCAAAACCAAUAAAAAUCUUAUUUCUGAAAACUCUGUUGAGUUCGCUCGUUUAUCAAAAGACAAGACUAAAGUUCUCAAGGCAAAGGCUAUUGUAUGUCAAAAGUUCCAAACAACUCCAAAUCAAGUUUGUACAGUUAAAGGACUUACACAGCAAUAGACAGCCGAACUAACAACAUUAGUAGAAGAAGAUAAUGCUGAUGGCCGCGAUGAGUUUUUCUGGUCAGCACCGAUAGAUAACGCCGAUGAAACAGAAGGUCUAUCUCAAAAAACAUCAUUGAGAGUGAAAGGUAGCUAUGUGGUAGAACCACUUCAUGAUCCUACACGAUUUGAUGUGCCAAGCACAAGUGGUACUAAAAUUGACUCAGGUGAACCAGUCAGGGUGUCAAGCGAACCUCUUCGCUAAAGAGCGAAAAUCAUGCUCAAGUACCAAAGCGAAAGGCCAACAUCAAUAAAACUCCAAAACAAGUGUUAGAAAGAAAGCAUUAACGAAAUUUGAGAUACAAGAAGAAUAUUACUGAAAGGAAGCAGUUUUGGCGAUCUCAAAAGCCUAAUUACGCUCGCUAUGAAAAGGCUUCUAAGUCAAAAGAAGAAGCAAAAGCAAACUCAGCCUCUCACGUUCAAUAGAAUCAAGACAACCAAAAGAAGAGUUUUGGUCCUCAGAAACAAGACAACAGAAAGAGGAGUUUCGGUUCUCAAAAUCAAGAUAACCGAAAACAGAUCUUCGGUCCACAAACGUACAGCAACCAAAAGAGAAGUUUCAGUCAUCAGACAGACGAUAACCAAAAAAGUAGUUUCGGGCCUCAAGUUAUGAGAAAUCGAAAGGAUGGUUUCGGUCCUAAAUCAACCAUUGAGAAGAACUGAAGGGAAGGUAGUCUCGGCCCUCAACCAAGUAAGGGAAAUGAUCAAAAGCUUAAUACUGCUCCCAAGUCUCAUAUUUCUCACUCUCACUCUCACACACAUAAUGAUCGAAAGGGAAAAGGAAAGCUCUUUCCAUAAGAUGAAAAGAAGACGACAUUUUAACCCAAAGUGGAGAACCGAAAGACUGCUAACGUUGAAUCUAAAACUGAACCUAAAAUACUCAAAUCUAAUAAAAUCAAAGUUUUCACCAUAAAAAGGAAAGAUGAAACAACACUAAUAAAAAGAACCUUUUUGGUUGAUGUUUCUCUUACAAUUCCAUGUUAUGUAACAGGCUUACAAGGACCUAAGAAACUUUGGGUUCCUAAAUCUUCUUAAUUUUUGCAGGUUAUGCGUGACGAGCAGUUCGAUGAUGAAUGGUACAUAGACAGUGGUUGCUCGCGUCACAUGACAGGUAGAAAGGAAGAGCUGAGGGAAUUUUGGUCCCUACAAGAUGGUGGAUGUAUCAAGUAUGGUAAUAAUUCUUUUCGCACAAUCAAAGGUUAUAGUAUGAUUAUCAAUGGUGAUUUCUAGAUACAAAAAGUGGCGUAUGUUGAAGCUCUACAACACAACCUCAUCAGUGUUUCUCAACUGGUGGUCGGUACCGGCUUAAAACUUCCGUUCGAUGACGAUGGCUUAGAGAUUAUUGAAAAGAAGACGAACAAUAUUCUGCUGAAAUCAAAGCGAUAAGUAGAAAUGUACCCUUUGAAUAUCAAUCCCAUACGAGGAAAACCAGCAGUUUGCUUGCUAACAAAGGCUCAUUCAGACGAAAGUUGGCUUUAGCACCGAAGACUCUCCCAUCUCAACUUCAAAGACAUCAACAAGCUAGUCAACAAAGUCACCCUUCUUGAGUCAAUACAAAAAUUAUUGAACCACUAGAAUUACUUCACGUUGAUCUAUGUGAUCCAUCUUCAAUCGAGAGCAUUGGUGGUAACUGGUAUAUACUCGUUAUUAGGGGUGAGCAAAAACCGCACUGCGACUAAAAUUAACCGCAAAAACCGCAACCGAAAAACCGCAACCGCAAUAAAAACCGAUGGUGAGGUUUUCUGUUUUUCAAAAACCGCAAAUUUGCGGUGCGGUGCGGUUAUUUGUUUUCAAAAACCGCAAAAAACCCUCACCGCACCGCAUGUAUUAUAUACAAUUUUUUUUUAUCAAUUAUUAGUUUAUUAAAUAUUAAAAAUAAGACAAGUUUCAUGAAUGAAAAAUGGAUAAAAUACUAGAAAACAAAAGUAUUAGUUUUUUUCUUAUGUUUAACUUUGAAAAAUGAUGAAACUAGACAAUUUUAAGACAUUUAUUAUUAGUUACUAUUGAUUUGACGUUUUUAAGAUAUUAGUUGUUUGUGGUUUAAGUUAAAUAGUUAAUUGUCUUAUACCUUAUGGUUUUUUUUUAUUAUUACAAGUAAUAUGUUUGAAUUCUUAAAACUAUUUGAGCUCUAAAUUGUGGUUAAAAACCACAUAAAAUAACCACACCAAAUCCAUGCGGUUAAUAUCCGCAACACAAAAAAAAUAAAACCGCACCGCAAAAAUAACCGCCUAACCGCACCGCAAAAAUAACCGCACCAUGCGGUUUUGGAAAUGGAUUAACCGCAUUUGCGGUUAGUGGUGAGGUUUUGGCUAAUAACCGCACCGAACCGCACCGCGCUCACCCCUACUCGUUAUAGUGGAUGAUUUCUCUCGAUUUACCUGGGUGUUCUUUUGGAGUCAGAAAUCAGAGGCUACUCCCAAGCUCAGACUCUUUAUCAAGCAGGUAGAAGUUCAACUGCGAAAGGUAGUUCGAAACAUCAGAAGCGACAACGGGUUGGAGUUUAAGAACGAAGACUUUGAAGAUUUUCUUGCAGAAAAGGGAACCACUCAUAACUUCUCUGCUCCAUAUACUUAACAACAGAACGGAAUUGUCGAAAGGCGAAACCGAUCUUUAUGUGAAGCGGCCUGAACUAUGCUUAGCUUCGCCUCUCUACCUCUAUAUUUCUGGGCAUAUGCCUUUGCUUCUGCUUAUUUCACGUAGAACAGAUCUUAUCUCAACAAACGUUUUUCCAUCACUCCAAAUGAGAUAUUGAACAACCGAAAGCCUAAUGUAAAUAUUUUCCAUGUGUUCAAUUCCAGAUGCUUCAUCUUUAAUUCAAAAGAGCACCGAAACAAGUUUGACGUCAAAGCAGAUGAAGGAAUCUUUCUGGGUUACUCAUUAAACUCCAAAGCAUACCAAGUCUUGAACAAGCGUUCAAAGAAAAUCGAAGAGACUUACUAUGUCACCUUCGAUGAUAACUACGUUAAGAAACUGAACACAACCGAAGGUUCUGAGGUGGAAAUUUUUCCUAAAUCUGGUCAGGCUACGGUACCAAUCUCAAACCUCUUUGAGCAAUACAUGCUGGUGUUUGAUGAACCAGAAAAGGCUUUUCACUCUGAAUCCAAAGCUGAAGAUAACAAGGUAGAUAACAUGAAGAAAAUAAUCGAUGAUGCUGCAAAGAAAAUGGCAGAAGAACAAUCACCAACAACCGAACAGCGUAACUUAAGCGAACUUCCUAGAGAUAGUUCUUAUGUUAAGGGGGAGGGUUCGUCUUCUCCAAAUAAGCAAGAUUCAUCUUUCCAGGGGGUGAGUCCCUUAUCAUCAACACCAACCGAAAGUCAGGUAUAGGGGAAAAAAUUUGAGCCUGAAGCUGAGGUAGUAUCAUCGUUCGAGGGGAGAAUGCAAAUUCAAAUGAUGAUGAAUUGGAUCCCUCUUAUGAUCCUAAUUACCCACCACUCUCCAAAUAGAUCAAAUAUCAUCCUCAAACACAAGUUAUUGGUGCACCAUCAAAAAAAGUUCUCACACGAUAACAACUGAAAGCGAAACAAACUACACUAUUCUCUAAAGUGAAAUUUUGCAUGUUUAAUUCGGUCAUCUCCAAGGUUGAACCAAAGACGAUCAACACUGCACUCGACCAUUUUGAUUGGGUACAGGCGAUACAGGACGAACUCAGUGAGUUCGAGCGAAACAAAGUGUGGAGACUGAUUCCAACACCAAAGGAUGCUUCUGUGGUUGGACUAAAGUGGGUUUUCAGGAACAAGAUGGACAAGGAAGGAAAUUUAAUUCGCAACAAGCCAAGAUUGGUUAUGAAAAGUUAUUGUCAAGAAGAAGGCAUUGAUUACGAAGAAACCUUCGCUCCAAUAGCAAGACUAGAAUCAGUUUGUAUUUUUCUCGCCUAUGCUGCACACAAGAGCUUUGAAGUAUACCAAAUGGAUGCAAAGUGCGCCUUCCUAAAUGGAGAACUGGAAGAGACGGUGUAUGUAGAGCAACCAUCGGGUUUUGUAAACGAGAAGUAUUCAGAUCACUGCUACAUUCUGGACAAGGUUGUUUACGGUCGCAAGCAAGCACCAGGGGCAUGGUAUGAAACUCUAACUAGAUUUAUUAAAAUGUCUAAGUUUAAACAAGGUUUGGUUGACCCAACCUUCUUUCGUAGGAGAGAGGGUUACCACCUUAUGAUAGUUCAAAUUUACAUCGAUGACAUCAUUUUCGGCUCCACAAAUCCUAGCUUAACAGCUGAACGUAGGAAGUUGAUGGAGACUAAAUUUGAAAUGAGCUCAAUGGGUCCGAUUAACUUUUUCCUUGGCUUGAAUAUUAAACAGGGACCCGAAUGCAUUUUCAUUAAUCAAUAGGCUUACACAAAGACCUUGCUUGCCAAGUUUGGAAUGUUGGGAGAUUCAAAAGUAAAGGUUCCUAUGGCGUUUGGCACAAAGUUAACACCUUCUCUGGAAAAAACCGGCUGCUGACAUGACCCUCUAUCAUCAAAUGAUAGGGUCCCUAAUGUACCUAAUUGCAAGUCGACCAAAUAUAAUGUUUUCUGUUUGCUAUUGUGCUAGAUUUCAAGCUAAUCCAUACGAACCUCAUCUGCUAGCUGUGAACAAUAUCUUCCGUUACUUGAAGCAAACCUCUUCACUUGGUCUAUGGUACCAAGCCAAGUAUGGGUUCUUUGUCCAAGCAUUCUCAAAUGCUGAUCUUGGAGGAUGUGGACUGGACCGAAAGAGUACCACUGGAGGAUGCCAAUUUCUGGUUGGCAAACUGGUUAGCUGGCAGUCAAAGAAACAAACCUAUGUCUCACUCUCCACUACCGAAGCAGAAUACAUAGUUGUAGCAUCGUGCACAUCUCAAGUCAUUUGGAUACAAAUUCAACUUCGAGACUAUGGCCUGAACAUGAAGAAAAUCCCACUAUAUUGUGACUCGGAGAGUGCAAUUCAGAUUUGUCAUAACCCAGUGCAAUACUCAAAGAUGAAACACAUAGCACUGAGGUAUCGCUUCAUUAAAGAUCACAUGGAAGACGGUAAUGUAGAAAUUCAUUUUGUAAGAACCACUGAUCAAUUGGCUGACAUCUUUACUAAAGCCUUGCCUGAAACCAGAUUUAAUAAAAUCCAUCAAGGCUUAGGAAUGAUGGAAGCUGAAUCUGUACCAGAGUCACUUUCGCCCCUAUAAAAGUUGGAAGCAAAAUAGAGCGAACGCUCGGUCCAUUUUGGGUUCGGUUCUUUUGGGAACCGAAAUGAAUCGAACGCUCGGUCUAUUUCGGGUUUAGUCUAACCGGGCUCGGUUCGCUUCUCAUUUUUCAAGUGAUGGUUUCAGUUGUAUAGUAUGUACACACUCUUUUCUUAUAAUUUAUUUUAUGUAUUUCCUUUUAUUUUUCAUAAAAUCCAAAAAAAAUUAUUUCUGUUUUAAUUUCUUUUUUCAAAAAAUGCAAACCAUAAUUAUAAAAUAUUUUUCAUUAUUUUAAAUUACUCGGUCUUCGUCUAAUCAAUGUAUAAGGAACUUUUUAAUGCUGAAGCUAGGAUAAUUAUAAUUCUUUAUCUUUAUAUUAGCUAAGUGUCCCUAAAAGCAUGUUGUCGUAUAUUGACCCAAACCUCUAAAGAUUUUGAGUGAAGCCUUAAUGACUUGAUAAAUACCAAUCAUGUCUUCCCAAUUAGGCUGACAAAUUCACUCUCAUCAUGAGCUACCUAACUCUACUCUAACAUGAGUUAAGAGUUUUUCUGCUUGGUCCUAUUUUAUAGCAGAGGUACAUUCGUUCUUUAACUCCCUUAAUCUUAUUCUCCAUUAAUCAUUCAUUUCAUCGUUGUAACCCUUGAGACACUCAGCACUACCACUGAGGUUUAUGGUUACACAGCUUCUGUGUUUAUGAUCUUAGUUUCAUGUCACUACGUGCUAAGUGAAACCCAAAAUUCAAUACCUAUAAUGCAAUGACAGUGAACAAAUAAAUGUUCUAGCUUUCACCUUGAAUUAACGAAACCACUUUUGUGGAUGUACCUUGAAAUCUCCUAUUCUUGUGAGAGAUCCUUAUGAAAAUGUCUAUCACCAAGACUUUUCUUCCCAAAGGGUCCAAUUUUAAUUUUUCGUUGAGAUUUCUAAUUAUUUUAUGUCUACAAGUCACUGAAUAUGAUCCACACCUACUUGUUUAAUAGGCCACAUUGGUAUCAGAAGUACUUCAUUCCACUUUUGGUCUUAUGUCAAGUAUCGAAACCUGGAUUGAAGCGAAACCCACACUUAAUAGCCUUACUUAUAAAAGAUGCCUUUCAAUGCUUCUUAAAAAGUACUUGAUCGUAUUUCAACGGGAAUCCAUUCAAGCACUUUGAAGUCUAUUUGGAUUUUGAAGGAAGCGAUUUGUGCCUAGGAUCAACUGAUUUACGUCCUUUAUGACAUCACAAAAUCCCACAAAUACUUUCUUUUCUUUCUUUAUCUUUGACACUAUCUUGCAUGAAAAUCUUGGAUUUUCUAAAAAUGUAGUCAGAUUAUUCACAAGCUAUUCAUAAAUAUAUAGCUUUGGUUCCUAACGAUGUUAUGCAGUGAAUUUCAAACGAAGGGCUGAAAUCUAUAAUAAGCCUACAAAGAUCUCAUCUCAACCUCCGAAACCUCAACACUCGAAACCUCAACAACCGAAAGUUGUUGUCGAACCGAAAUGGAAAGAUGCUUCAGGUUCAGGAAUGCAGAAUAAGGCUAAAGGAAUUGUUGAUGAUGAUGAGGAUGAUGUUGAUGAUUUUGAAGAUACGGUACCUAUAAUGAAUAUUCUUAAAACCAAGCCUACUGCUCAGGAGAUUAAGCAAAAGGUUACUAAAGCAAUCAACAAGGAGAAUGAGGUGAGAGAGGCAAAUCUACUCAAUUAGAGAAAAUUGAAGUUUCCUCUAUGGACGUUGGAAAGGCUUCGAAAGGAAGUUAUUGAAGCUCCAAGUUCACACUGGCUGGAACCUGUUCUUUCAUUCAAUGUCGAGAAUUCUAAGCAUUCUCAAUUUGAUAUGCCAAUCACUCGUAAGGCGUUCAUCCCUCACUGCUUUGAGCCUACAGUGGCGAUUCCUUAUCCUGAUCAGAAGAUUGAUCAAGACUUGUUGGAAUAUUAUCACGAAUUCUCUCAACCUUAGUACCUAACCUGGAGUAACAAAAAGAUCACAACUAUCAAGGUACUGAAGCCUACUACAGCUGGCAAGUUCAUUAAUGUAAAGUUUAAAGUGACUCGAGGAUCUGAUGGUUUGGUCCAUACAGUCUCACUUGCCGAUUUUCCAAAUCUGAAUCCACACAAUUGGAUUCUUCUGAUCAAAAUUCUACUCUCCAACGAAAAUGAUUAUGAGCCAAUCAUUGAUCACAUCAAGCGUAUGCUAGUGUGUUACAUUCAUGAAGCGGCAAAGAUGGAUCAGGAGGUUGUUGUAGCUAUUCGCAAGAGACCCACAAUCAAGCCAAUUGGGAAGGAAGGCGACACUAAGCUGAUGGUGAAGGGAAAAAUUGAUCUACAGUCUCACAUUAUCAUCUUUCUUAGGGGUGAAGGUCAGAGGUGCCUAUUUUCUCUGGCUGACAAACAUCUAUUCUCCACUUCCUGCAUGGAGCACAUUCUUGAGCUUGUUCAUGGGUGCGAUCAAAAUAGUAAGGCAGACAAAAAGUUGUUCUCAGAAAUGCUUCGGUGGUAUAUGGAUUUCAUACAAACUCUUCUUGCCAUUGUUCCAAGACUGUUCAAGGUUGUGAAGCGAACUCCUCAACCUCCCCCAAAGUGAAGUCUCGCCCCAAAUUAACGCAAAGGGGGAGAUUCUUGGGUCAUUAAGUGUUGCAUCUUUGGGCUCGGUCCUUAGCCCAAUUUUAUUAUCUGGUUUGGGCCUGUCCAACCGUGAUUAUUGUAUUAGGUUUUAGUAUUUAAGGUGCAUGCAUGCAUCCUUAGUAAUUAUCACUUUCAUUAUUAUUCAUAGUAAUUGUACUACAAACCCUAGCUCACCUCUACAGUAGAAGUUCUUUGUCGAGCUAUACUGAAGCGUGACUACAUUUGAAUCAUUAAGCAGUACUUUGAUUCCAUCUCAUGUUUACUAUGUUUAUUUGUUUGCUUUACUAAUUAACAUGUUGAAGAUCUAAUCGAUCUAAGAGUUUUUCAACUCAUCAGGUUGGUCAAGAUACUUCUAAAUGGUGUUAUUGUGCUACCGGAGACACCAAUAUCUCUGACAGAUGUACAGUCUUUGCGGGAUUAAAGAGAUGUCAUAGUUAACUUCAACUAAGUUUAGCGGUCCUGAUGAUGGUGCAAUGUCAUUUUCAAGGAUGAACUUGGUUUCAUUGAUGGGAGUUGUGAUGCGGACAUAAUAGUCAUGGAAUUUGACGUUGAAGCUUUAGACUAUUAGUCUUGUUCUCCGGAUGAGAACAUGAUAUGCAACCUUGUUCGUUGAGUAACCCAAAGAGAUGCCUUCAUCAGAUUUGGUGCGAAUUUGUUGAUAUGAUCCUAGUUGUUGACUAUAAAACACCUGCAACCAAAAAUGUGAAAGAAACGUACAUUGGGUUUUUUAUUAUUUAGAAAUUCCUAUGGAGUUUUGUUAAGGCAUUUGCAGAUGAUAAUUCAAUUUUAAACAAAACAUGCAGUUGCCAGUGCUUCAGCCCAAAAGUAGUGAGGUGAGUUGGCAAAGUUGAGCAUUGAUCUAGCAGCUACGACCAACGUUAUCUUCCUCCUCUCCACUAAUCCAUUUUGUUGUGGUGUGUAAGGUGUGGAGAACUUAUUGUUGAUUCCUUAUGAUACUAAAAAGAUAUUCAACAGGUAAUUAGUGAAUGUGGUACCAUUGUCGCUUCUUAUCCAUUUGACAGGCAACAUGAUUUGUAGCUCUAUUUCUUUUAUGAUGUUGAUUAGAAUCUACAAUGUGACGGACUUCAGUCUCAAAUAGAACACCCAAGUGAAACGAGUGUAAUCAUCAACUAUAACCAGAAUGUAUUUUUUAGGAUGAAGAGUAGCUAUAGAGUUGUAGUUUGUCGAUGAUUAGAGAAACAUCUAAUGGAUACAUUGUCCCUUUGGCUUUGGAAUUGAAUAUGCAUUUGUUUCUGUCAUUUGUCAUGAUGUAGCAAAAUUCGCUGUCGAACUCCACCCAAUGACCAACUUUACACAAUUGACCAACAGUGAUCAAGGAUUUGUUUCUAUCAUUUUUCAUGAUGUAGUUUCUACAUAGUUAACACACCAUAUCCCCUGAUUAUUCUAUUUGCAUUAUUCCUAGAGGUGACGUGUCCACCACCACUGAUCGGCCUAAAAUCUCGAAGGUAGUCUAACCUUCUAGUCAUGUGCAAGGAGCAGGCACUAUCAAUUAACCAUUCUUCUUCAUGGUCCUCCUUGCAUAUAGCCUGCAUGAUCAGUUGGUUAGUUUGGGUAUCCAAACUAGUUUGGAGCCUGUGGCAACAUGGGAAAUACUUCUAUUAAAAUUAUGCAUGUAGGAGUCAAGAAGAUAUUUCUUUUUCCAUGUUUAUCUGUCUCCAUGAUGUUCGACUUUCUUUUGAACAUUUCGAGGUGUGAUUUGACGUUUCUCUUAUGACAGUGGAUAGAAACAAAAGGUGAGAUUCUUUUCAUUAAUCCACAGUCCAUACUUGGUCAAUGUUUUAGAGGGUGUGGUCUUCUUUUUUAGACUAGUCCUUGGGUUGUGUUUUUACAGAAGUGUCUUUUGAGUUUGUAAAAGACUUGUUGAAAGGCAUGGACGUUAGUUUUGACUAUCUGGUUGAUUGAUGGGUUUUCGAAGAAUGUGAAGUGUGUAAAAUACCCUUCAUUUUUUGUAAUUCUAAGGAAUUUUGUGAGAGUGACUUGACUCCUUUCUGAGAGGAUACAAUGGUGUUGGUUUCAAAAGAUUUUGUAACUAUACAUGCUUUUUUGCAAGAUCCAAUGACUGCGGUGUGAUUUUGAAAAAUUUUUGCAAUGAUGAGUUUUUUGAAAUUUCUUUUGUUUGAAAAUUUGGCCUGAGUUUUGAAAAUUUUGUUCCUUGAAUCAGCUUCCCGCUCUGCAAGCCAAGAUCUGACUUCAUUUUUCAGACCUAAUUUUGCCUCAAAUUUUGGUGGAACAACAUCAGAAGCAUUUAGAUGAGGUUUUUUUGAAAUUCUUUGAUCUAGGUAUUGACCUAGGAGUUGAAUCAUCGGAACUAAAGUGUUCAUGAUUUCGGGAACACUGCCCAAUCUCAAAAUUAUCAAUGGGAAGUUUAUGCAAAAUAUGUUGGAGAGUGGAUGUGGACUUGACUGGGGUUUGUGGUAAUGAGGACUGGAGUACCGUAGAGUAGGUUAAAGAAAAAUCUUUGUUGGGACUUAUCUUUGUUUCAGGUUCUUACAUAGAAAUUACUUCAUCCACUACCAAACUAGACUGAGAACUGGGACUAAUUGUACCGAUCACAGGCAAGAAACUUUCUAAGUUUCCCGAGAAUCCAGGAUGAAUCUCCUCGAUGAAACAAUUAUUAUUGAGAUCAAGAAGUCUACCAAACUGGCAUCAAAUGUCUUCAGGAAAGGUCUUGUCAUUGACUGGAUGAUGAAAGUCCCGGUCUGGUAGGACAUAAAGACGUUCAACAUCAAACUGAGGAGGAGAGUUCUCUUCGGUAGAGUAUACAUUGGACCAUCCCCAAUUAUAUGUGUUGUCAACAAUCCCAUUAUUAACUAGGUUUUCGAUGGCCUCACUUUCAUUAAACAAUUUUUCAAUUAAAUGAUUCAAUUGUACAAUUUCUUUUCGGGAAAGUUCCCAUUGAUUGAAAGCAACCUUUAACUACGUCUCACUAAGUAACCUAGCAUCUUUUUCUAACAACAAAUCUUUUUCUAACAUAGUGACCUUAAGCAUAUUGCCUUCUAGUCUUCCUCUCAAGUGAUACAGCUCUUGGGCCGCUAUGUUCUUUUCAUCUAAGGCUUUGUUGUAGUCUGUAAGGAAGGCAACACAAGUUUAAUUAAGUCUUUCUGAGUGAGGUUCAUAAUCUUGCAUGCUAUAAUCAUUAGACUGAAUCAUAAAUUUUACCUGUUCGAUGACGCUGAGGGUCCCAUCCCUUUCCAUGUAGCAGUAGUUUCUCUACAAGUUGGUAGAUCCAUCUUCAUCACUUGUUGCUACCAUGCAUAUCUUUACUAAUUUUCUUUUGUUAGCAAGCUCCUUGUCUUCAUCACCCAAGGACCAAACCUGAUGAUCCCUUCAAACAUAAGUAACACAUGUGUUUUCUUUUUCUUUCUCCUUAUCCUCCAUUUCCUGAUCCAUUCUAAUAUGGAAUGCUUUGUCUUUCACCACAUUUGGUUUACAAUCUCGUGCAAAGUGAUUUUGUUUGUGACAGAAAAUAACUACAUCUUUGUUGUCUUCGGUAGUAGUACCGGAGUCUGGGAUUCCUUUAUAUGAGGAGCAUUCUGAGGAUGAGGUUGGUGAUGAGGGUUUAUGGGACAUCAGUGAUGAUUUUUCUGCGGGUUGAAGGUUCGUUUGAAAGGUGGUUUAGUGAACUGUUGGUUUUUUCGAAAAGUGGGUGGUCGGAGAUGAUUGAACUGUUGAUUGACGAGGGCUAUGGUAUUUUGGAAUUCUUCCUCAUCAUCAAGUUUGACAUCAGCUUCACAUAACUGCAGUGAGUUAUCAUAUGAGUGUUGAUAUGAUGACUCUCUGGGAUAGGAAUAUUGAGGUGCUUUUAUGGCAUACUAAGGAUUUUCGGCCAUUAAAGCAAGUGAUCCACCGAAGUCUGCAUAUUCUUUUAACACGGUAGAUUCUUGAGCCUGAAGUUCACCGUAGAGUUUCAAAAGUGAAAGAGUCCGGAUCCCUUGGACUAUCAUUUUUACAGUCGUCCAAUAUCUUCCUAGCCUAUUUAUGAAUUGCAGGUUGGUUUCAUGGUUGCUUUUGAUGGUACCACCAUUUGAGAGCUUAAUGAUUAUAAGGUUGAAUCUCUUGAAGGAAUCAUCAAGACUUUCACUAGGUAGAGCUUUGAAGUUGGUGAAAUUGUUGAGAGCAGUAGUGAGCUUCUUGUCUUGAGCUUGUUCAAACCCAUGCUAAAGAUUUAUUACUACAGUCCAAAUCUCUUUGGCAGAUUCACAGUUGAUGAUGAUGUCAAAGUUAUUUGUAUUAACACCACAAGAAAUUUCAUACAAAUAAAUUGUGUCUUUCUCCAUAUUUUCGAGAUCAUCGUUGGCAGGUCUGUUCAUGGCUGUUGGACCACCUCCAAAUCUUGUCUGAGCACCAUCAACUGCAAUAUGAGUGAGAAUAGGAACAUAAAGUCCUUUUUCUAUAGAUCUCCAAACAUCUCUUCUGAGUGUCUUUAAAUAUAUUUCCAUUCUUUAGGACCAAGGAUGAUAUUAACUUGCAAAAAGUAUUGGAGCUCUGUUAAAACCUCCAACUCUGUUUGAAACGUUUAGAGAAUAAGCUUGUGCCAUUUUCCUUGUUUUUUAAUGAAAUUUAGUGUUAUAAAAUGCCUUUUAAAUCAGAGUGUUGUUUGAAGUUAAAAAGCAACCACUUUAGCUCUGAUACCAAUUAUUGAGAGAGAAACUUGAUAAGAGUUAGUUACGAGAUAAUAAGUUGCGGAAUAAUAAGUUAAUCUCAAUGGAUCUUGUUAGCUCAACAAUAAAAGUUAGAUAAGUUAUAUUGCGGAAAUGUAAGGAAAUUAAAUAGGAGCAAUUUUAUAUCGAUAAGCAUUAAACAAGUAGACACUUAGUUGAAUGUUAACAUGGUUUACAUGCAAACACAAGUUAGCAUAUGAUGAACAGCAUAAGUGAAAAGGGACUCGGUUGGAGUAUCAGUAAGAUAAUGUGAGAUAUAAAGAUGAAAAAUCAUAUAUUAACAAGCUCUAAAUUGGUAAGUAAACAUGUAGUGGGAAGCUCUAUUUAUAGAGUCCCAAAAGUUACACAAAAAUAAUAAACGAUUACAAAGUAGCUGACUUCGGUGACUCUGAAGAGUACACCGGAUAAUACUAAGAUUACAAGCAAAGUCAGUAAAAGGUAACUUGUGACAGUAUUCAUGUUAUGUUCAUCUGCGGGUCUUCUUCACAUCUUCAGGUCCAUAUGAUGACAAAUAGUCUUCGGUUGUCUCUUCUCCAGUUCACAAGGCAUUAAGGUCUACGGGUCUAUCGUAGCUGAAGAGGGUCACUUUCUUAUUUCAACAGCACCCCAAGCAAAUCCUCUAGAAACACCUCCGAAUACACCCACACCAUAGACACAUCAUCCACAAUCGCCUUACCCUUAUCAAGGGUAUCCAUAAAAUAGGCAAAAAAAUCCAGAACACCCCUAUUGAAUAUAGAUUUUAGCCCUCUUUGCUGAACACAAAAUCGGUACACGUUGAGCUCUCUCUCCAAAACCAAUAACUUUCCCCCACUUGGGGUUCGAAUCUGAACUAACUAUUGCUCACAAUUUAUCAUUGUCCCAUUAAGGCCCAACCAAUCCAAGCCCACGAUAAUUGAUGUGUCAUAAAUAUAUUGCUACACUAUUAGUUUUACCAACUAUCUAACUAAUUCUUAUGACUUAAGGCAAUGGACCUUGUUGAAAAUAAUAUAGCACAAAUAGUCGGGUAUCGAACUCAGGGAACAUAUUUAAUUUACUAAACUAACUACUAAUAGAUUAACCUAAAAACAAGUAAACAUUUUAUUGAUUUUUGUCUGAUUUUACAAGUUCAGACAAACUUAAUCACUUAGCUAACGAUUCAAUCAAUUACUAAAAACACUUCCAUUUAGUUCGAAUCCACUUCUCCUCUAUGGUUAGCUACUAAUUAUGGAUUGUUAAUGUUGGUUAUCAAAUAUUAUUUUAUUAGCAAUUCAAGUCCAAAUUACUAAUAUUUUCACUAAUUCAUGUAAAACUAUAUAGCAUCAUACAUUAGCAAACACAUAAUUAGUUAUAGAAUGUAGUUAAGUUAUGUAAGAUUAAUCAAAUUAAACACAAUUGUGGUCGUAAUUUAUAUUCUUGAACACAGCUAAAUUAGUUACUCUUAUUACUUAACUAUGAUUGGGUUGAUCCUAGAUCUAGCAAUUUAAUGGUCACUAAACUACUAGGUAACGUGUUCAUGUAAUUUAAUGUUCACUAAGCUAAACAAAACCUUAAUUCAAGCAAUUAAAGCAUCAAAUAUUAACAUGCUAGGUAGAGAUAAUCAAACACAAGCUCAUAACCAACAAUUAAAAUUCAUAAAUCAAUAAACUAAACCAUAGAGUUAAAGCUUCAUCUAGCUAAACCGAAGCUACUUGAUUCAACUACUCAUGGCUGAUAAAGCAAACACAAAUUCAAUAAUAAAAGACAUAAUCAUAGAGCUCCAAACUAGGUCAAUGAAUAUAAUCUUCAAUCUCUUGACUUCCGUUUUUUUGAAUAAUUCUUCCCCAGAACUAUCUUUGAAAAAUCUUCCAAUUCUCCUUCAAUCGUGAAAGUGAAUGAAUAUAAUUUUGGGAAUUUUCGCACUUCACUUUGUGAACAAGGAUUUCACGUCGUGUACUUGAGAUAAAUCCUUAUCGGGCAAGGACUCUGACUUCCAUUGCACUCAUCUUCUAAAACACUCGUUCCACGUCGUGUAAAUAAUAGCAAUGUCGUGAUUUGGGCUUUUCGCAGGAAUUUUUAAACUAUUAAUUCUUCAAUCCUCCAAAGUUCCACUUCUUGUCAACAACGGUCCUUAUUCUUCAAGAUUGUUCCUUUUGGCUGCAAAAUAUAAUUUAAUCUCAAUAGUAUCAUAUAUCUUUGCAAAUAACCAAAAUAUUAAUAAAAAUGUAUUAAAAUAUUGCCUAUAAAUGUGUAUAAAUAUGGCAAUAUCAAAUGCACCACACUUAUUCUUUUCUUGCCCUCAAGCAAAACUAAUUUAUUUUAUGUCAAACUUCCAUCACCAACAUCAUAUAAGAUAAUCCAUUUUGAACUCAGUCCUUAUACCAAGACCACAAUGCGCAUAUUUGUGUCUAAAAUCCUAACAACUUCCCUAUCCAAAAUACUCACAAUCCUUAUGAACCAUGACCCAUUAGCUUAUACGACACUCAUUUCUGCAACCCUCCAAAUCAAUCCUUAGAAAUCUUUCUUAACCUCAAGGUAUUUUUGGUUAAACUACCCAAGCAUACAUAAUCUAAAAAAAUUAAAACUUUUGAUACCACAAUGGAGCUCUUUGGAAUUCUUCACUUCUUUGAAUAAUUGAACUUUGAUUUCUUGUAAUUCACCACAUUUUUGUUUGAUUUUUUGUAUCUUCACUUUUUGAUUCUUCAGAAUUUUGAUCUUUUGAUCUUCAUACCUGAUAGGUCCAAAAUUUUUACAGCUUUUUGGUAAUUUCUCUUUUGUCUAAACUCACUUUUUUUGCUCAAUACCUACAUGUGUAAGCAAGGGAGCUUAACUUCAACCUUUAUUGGUUAGAGGUAUUAGUCUAAGUGUAGUGACUACAUAAGCUCUCCUGGAUAAAUUUCAAGUAUAGGCUGCAAAAACUUUUUAUGUCAUAUAAACUACCAUAUUACCUUUCAUAUCUCAUGGCUUUUCCCUAGGACUUGGGAAGCCACAAAUAUACUACAACAUAUGUUGGCUCAAUUAAACAUUUGAGCUCGCCUCAGGUCAUCCAACGUAACACUAGCAACUUAAGUUUAAACUACUAUUGGAUACAAUUUAUAGAUUAUUAUUUCAAAUCUAUGUGUAAUUUUUUUAAUUUAAAAUUUAAAAUUUUCUAGCAAUUCACAUUUUUGACCCCCUACCCCACACUUAUUAAAUUCAAUGACCUCAUUGUAUGCAUAAAAUAAUUUAAAAGAAAUAAACAGGAGAAAAAGGAAUAGACUCCCAUGGGGUAAUAAUGGCGAGAUCGGUUAUGAAUGCGUGGAUAACUUAAACACCUUGAAUACAUGAAUGAAACUUAGAUCCUCCAAGAUAUGUGAAUGUGUUGGCAGAAUGUGAGUCAGAAACUUGAAUCUUCAACAAAUGUGAUGCAUAAGAUCUUCAAAGCAUAGCAUCUCAAUAUGGGAAAGCAUACGCCACAUUAUAAAAUUGGAAGAGAAAAUUAAAAAUGCCAUAUGUCCUGACCACGAUGUCGUAUUGUAAUUCGCAUCGUGUUGUCAGCAUAAAUCGUAUUCGAAAUCACGAUAGCUUCCAAAGUCAUGAUGUGGAAUGAAAAUCCAUGUCGUGUAAACUAGUUUUCACAGAAUGCAAGAGCGCAUUAAGUCUUCUAUGCAAAUGGAAUGCAACUGAAUAUAUAAAUGUUUUGAGACCCUUCUAAUACUCUAUUAUUUUUUUGACUCUUCCCUUAUCUCUAGUUUCUCACGAAAUUAACCCCACACUAUCUAAAAAUUGUGGACUUUGACUAAUAACUUCGAAUGACACGGCUUUACUUGAACGCUCCUAUCUCUAUUCUCUAAUUAUUCCACUCAUGAUAGCACACCAAAUCUGCAACAUAGUAAAUAGAUUGUGGAAAGAAGAAAAAUAUUCAUCCCAUAGUUGGUUACAAGUUCAAAAAAACCAAAUCAAAACUUAAAAACCAAAUCAAAACAAACUAAAACAAAAUAAAAUUUUAAUAAAUGAUAGAAUUAAUAAUCAUCUCCGUCCUUUUGCGCUCCAACAGUUCCGACUCCAUCCCAUUUCCAUGUCCACAACUCCUCCCAAGUUGGAAUGUACAGGUAAUGAGGCGGCAUUGUUGGAGGUCGCUCCACAUUAAGAUGCGUAAAUAAGGCAUUAAUAGCUUGAUCGUGGUAACUAACACUCCCAUGGAGAUUUUCGAAAUAAGUACUGACCCGACUUUGAAAUGGGUUCGUUGGUAACCCACCCUCAAAUGGUUGAGGUGGUUGUUGUGGUUGGCCCCUUUCCCCGUGGGAUCUAACAUUUCGCCUUCCUUUUUGUCUUGGUUGUUCAUGUUGUUGACUAAUGGGUUGCUCAACAUAUUCUGGGCGUAUUACAAAUCCCCCACCCAUGUUCACCACCACUCGCAUAACACUCAUGAAUUGAACCAUCAAAUCAUUAUCCUUGAAACGUGUAAUAUUCCUAAUAAAAUUAAGACUCAAAAUACCAUAAGACCGGGCAAGACGAUUAACCAAAUGUCAACUCGCAGUGGGACAAUCGGGUAGAGAACUUGCCACCUUUUUCCAUAAAAAUAUUGCAAGAAUGUAAGGUAUGUCAUAGAAAACUCCGGUUGUAAUGAUGCUCCAAAGAUAAAACAACUUUUGUGUAGGUACUUUAUCCCCAUGAUGUUUAUGGUUAAUGGACAAAGUGAACAGACGAUGUAAAAAAUGGUAAAUAGGAGACCGAAUUUGACCUUCACACACAUCACGCAAAUUGUACUCAUCAUUUCAAAUGAUUCUCCAGAAUUGUACAUCAAGCAAUCCCAAGGUAAAGAUCCUAACAUAACCUUGUAGGAAUAAAAUAAAAUGGGGUGAUUGAGUUUGUUCUUCAGUAUAUAUCCCCAUUCUCCAUGCAAACUCACGAAGGCUACAUUCACGAUAAAAACCUCCCAAACGGAAUGAAAGAACCCACUUGUACAUUGGUUCGGUAGUCUUUUCUUCAAAAUUAACUAUUGCAAAGAACUCAAUGGACAAUUCCCGAUAAACAGAUUCUUGAAUAGAAAACAAAUUUCGCCACCUGUUGCAUGGAGAUCUUUCCAAAACAGGAGAUUAAGCACGGAAGCAAGAAAAAUCGAAGAAAAUCGUCACAAAAUCGAAGUGUGGGGUUGCCUUCUGGUGUGUGGAGUUUGAAAGUGAUGGUCAAAAAAAUGAAGUCAUCUAUGUAACUGGUCCCCUCAUGAACUUUUAAUUCACUUCGUGAAAUUUGAAACCCUUGUAUAAUUAUCAGGAUGAAAAUUGUGAUCACGAUGUGGUGUACAAGACCACGUAAUGAUAUCGAGGAUUUUAUUUACUGUCUUAAAAAUUCAAUUUUCUUCUAAAAAUUUCACCACUCUAUCAAUUCCAAACCUCACACUUAAUUCUUACUGUUUACUAAUAACUAAGAUGACUAUUUAUCCUAAACCUCAACUAGAAAUGAAAAACUUAAAAAUAAUAAAAAAACGAAAAGAAAAACGCAAACCGAGCUCUGGUUGCCUCCCAAGAAGCGCAUCUUUUUUAAAACGAGUCAUGAGUCGAACUCCAUGCCACCCUACGUUGAAUUGUUCAGAGUGUCAACCACCAAUUGCACCUUCUGUUAUUUCCAUCUUCUCUUGUAUGCUUACACUCUCCUAAGAUACGCCUUCUUAGAAUUUUCCUUUUUUAAUUUGGAAUCACCUUCCACCUUUCGUUGAAUUCCCUUAUUCACAAGAAAUUUAGGUCCUCUUUCUUUACAUUUUAGCUCCAUAGCUUCAGCCUUCUCCUUGGCAAAAGUUUGUGGUUUCAGGAAUUGGGUAACUUCUUCCUCAUCAUUCGACACCAAAUCUUCUUCACCCUCCUCACUCACUAAAGACUUUGGAGCUUUGUAAGAAAAAUCUUCAAAAAAAAACCAUCGGAAUCGAUACUCUAGGCUUUAUACGCUUGACUUCUUUAAUGGCUUGAAUAUGUUCUUCCAUUAAUUUCUCUAAUUCCUCAAGCUCGUUCUUGUCAUCCAUAUUGAACACUUUAUUUUUUAGUAUAGUCUUCUUUGAAUCAAUCUUCCACUCCAAAAGUCAUCUCUUCAUCUCCCACUCGUAAUAUGAGUUUAGACUCGCGUAUAUCCACCAACGCACGAGCGGUAUUGAGAAAAGGAUGUCCAAGGAUAAUUGAGAUGUUUUUAUCUUCUUUUAUAUCAAGUACUACAAAAUCAGUUGGAAAAAAAAAUUUCCAAUCUUUACCAAAAUGUCUUCAACUAUGCCUCAAGGAUGAGUCACUGAACGAUUAGCCAUGUGAAUCGUCCUUCUAGUACCCUUCAAAUUUGAAAGAGCGAGCUUCUGAUAGAAUGAAUAAGGUAUCAAAUUUAUUCUUGCUCCAGAAUUGGCAAAAGCAUAAGUCUUCAUAUUAUUUCCAAAUUCAGAUGGAAGUGUAAGGCGUCCAGGAUCUCCCAUCUUCUUUGGUAUUUCUCCCAUUAUUACCUUAGAACUCUACUUACUAAGGACAGCCUUAGAAGUCGUCUCUAGUUGUCGGCGAGUGUCAUGUAAAUCUUGAAGAAAUUUUGCAUAUUCGGGCGUGUGCUAAGGAUUCAAUAAAAGGAGUAUUAAUAUGAAUACCCUUAAAUUGCUUCAUAAACUUCAAAUGUUCUUGUUCCGUAGAAGAACUCUUGCUUGAGAAUAAAAUGGUAGCGGAGGGAAAAAAAAUCUUGAACACAAGAUUGAUUUUUCCUUUCAGGCUAUAUCCACAUCGUGGAAAUUGAAGCUCCACGUCGUAAUAUCAAGAAUCCAGCAAAAAAAUUUCUCUUUCACUUCUGACUUCUUUUGCCAUGGUUCGAGCUGAAUUGGCUCUUUCUCUAAGGCUUCUAGGAACUCAGCAAUAGUAUCUUCUUCAUUGUUGAUGGCCAUGACAUGCGGUUGUGGUUUUUUCUCGUGAAUUUGUGGAGAUAAUAUUUCAUUAACCAUUGUUGUUAAUUGAGCAAGUUAAGCUUCAAUGUUUUGGACUGAUGCUUGAUGAUUUAUUAGUAAAGCUUGCAGAUCUCUCAUUAGAAUUUUUUGGUCUCUUAUCGCCACAUCGGACGCAUCAUGUCGUUUUUCCAACGCCACCAUGAAUCUCGUCAGAAUGGACUCUAGAUGAAUUUUCUUUUUAGGUUGUGGUUGCUCUUUUUGGUAGAAGCCUCGACCUCUUUGCCUAAAACAUUCUUCGUUUUACUUUUUAUAUUAAUCAAAAGGCAACCAUUCUUUCUUUGGCUUCCUCGAAUCUUCAUCGUAUUUUUCUCCACUUGAGUAACAUACUUGAGCUUUCUUGCAUUGUUAGGUUGACAUCUUCUUUGUCUUGGAUAAGGUGUCUAAGUCCAUAACUUAUUUGGUAUAUACUUGACCCGACCCGGUAUGGUCCAUUUGGGUUGCACUUCACCUGAACUAUUUAUGGAUAAUUUUAUGAGAGUUAUACACAUAUGUUUAUUAAUAUAUUGUAAGAUAUAAUAUAUUAAUAUGAAGUUACGUUAUUUAAUGAGUUUUAGUCUUAAAUUAAUUAUGAAUUAAUUUAGAGAUUAAAAGGAAGACUAAUUAAAUUGUGAGCUAUUGUAUUUUAUAUGGUAUGGGCUAACACUCAUUUGUUAAUGGGCUAGGCUUAUAUGGAAGUCCAUGGAUGAUCCAUGGAGCUUUUAACCCAUGGAUCUUUGGAAAAGGAAAGGUCAUGGGUUGUUAGGGUUUCACCCUAACCAUGCACACUAUAUAAGCAUGCUUAUGUUGCAUGAAAUAGCCACUAGUGUGUGUGUUUGUGUGUGGCCGAAUUUCUAAGUGUGUAAACACUCUCUAAAAGUUUCCAAGUGUUUGUGGUGAUUUCUGAUUUCCAUUUGAGGCAUUCACACUAUUGGUGUUUGGCUCUCAAACUCCAAGGAAUCAAACUCAUCAAAAGGUAUGUAAUCUCAUCUAAUUCUUUUAUGUUUAAAAAUACCCUAUGCCAUGUUAGAUAGGUUAUGAACCUUGGAAAAUUAUUAUUUUGCAUGUAUUUAGACAAACAUAGAUCCAAGGUUUAUUAGGGUUGCAUGCACACUUAGGAAGUGUUAGAUUGCUCAAAACCCAACAGUGGUAUCAGAGCCUAGGCUUGCUUGUUUGAUACUUGAUGCAAAAUAGUGAAAAAAGUCGAAAUUGUUGCUGUCUGCAUGCUAGACUCGCCGAGUCCAUUGGGGGGACUCGCCGAGUCCAAGGCAAACUUCAACCUACUCGACGAGUCCGUUCGUGCACUCGGCGAGUAGGAUCGAAAGAAUGCAGAAUCUCGACUUUUGCUGCUGGAAAUGGACUGGAAACAUUACCCUAAAUUGUUUUGGUGUUGUAAAACUUAUUUUAGUUGGUGUAAUGGUUGUUCUAAUCCAUUUACAAUAGCUUAUAUCAAAAUUUCAUAUCUUAUAUGUGUUCAUGUUUUCUUGAAAUUUUGAUGUUAAUGUUCUUAUGAAUUUAGAAGCUGACAGGAAUUAUUUGCUGAAUUGUUUAAAAUUAAUUCUCAAUCAUUUAUGUGUUUUAAUGGAGUCCAUAAUUUGUCCUCAAGUUAUGGAUAUCCAAAGGUCACUUUUCUUUAACACGAAUUAAAAACACAUAAGUUACAUAAAAAUGAAGAGUCUUUAUUUUUAUGAACCUUUAAUUCAGAAGUUAUGAAAUGAAAAGUUUUGAAGAGUUACAAAACUUUCCCUCAAAUUUUGGAAUUUGGAAGAGUUUCACACACUUUAAUAAACUUUAAUUCCAUACCCUAGAAGUUUGAAAAGUUAAAAUUCUACCCUUAACUAUUUAUAACAUUAAUGGUUAAUUAUUAUAUAUAUGUAUAAGAAUAAGUCGUUUUACCGUUAGUAGGCCUCAUUCACGAAGCCGGUCUAUAAGGUGGGUAUAAGGUUGUUGCCUAUAAAAUGGCGACUUAAUGGGUGUAUACUCUCACCCACCGCUUGCUUGAUCGGUGGAGGGUCGUUAGCCGAACGGGUAGAACAACGACUUUAAAUCCUCAUUAAAAGUAUAAUGAAUAUUAUAAAAUAACUAAACUCUUUUAAUUCCCAAUCUUAGUUAUUUUAGGAAAAUGUGAACAUGGUGCUAAUCCAUGGAAUUCACACUUUGUACCUUACCAAGUCGUUAGUGGAGCGUGUGUGGUUAACCGGCACACUAAUUAGACUAGUAAGGAUCACGAAGGGUAACUUAAUGUUGUCAUAGAUCAAUGGAGCGUGUGUGGUUAACCGGCACAUUGAUUAGGUGAUAAUAUUAGGAGUACCAAGUGAGUUAGCAUGGUUAUUCACACCUUGUUUUGUGAUCCUCGGCAUCCCAGUCACAAAACUUGAAGGGCACAAUCGAGAUUGAAACAUGCCAUUGAAAAGUUCAAUGAAUCUCAAAAGAAUCUAGGAAUUUCAAAUCCAAUUAAACCUAAUUAAUCAUUUCGUUUUCAUGGUGGAAAUUGGUGAAUCGUCAUUCGCCUACCUUUCAAAUAUAUUAUUACUUAGAUUACGGCAUCCCUCUUCUAAGUGUAAUAUAUUGUGAUUGGAUCCUAGCCUUAAUAUUACAUUUGGGUGUCUUAUUAAGGAUCCUAAAUAUCUAAUCUAAACUUACUUUCUUCUUUCAGAUGUCUUCCAACACUAAUGCUUCAGGCUCUAACCCAACUGGUUCUUUCUCUCUCAUGAAUCUUUGUGGGAGGGUCAUCUUUGAUGGUUCCAACUUCAUGGAUUGGAUUAGGAACAUCAGGAUGGUUACUCGUUACGAGGACAAGGAAUAUGUCCUCGAUAAGGAGUUAAAAGAACUUGAUGAGUCUACUGCUACUCCUGAGGAGAUCGCUGAAUUCAGGACUCAUGAGAGAGAUGCUACUAAGGUGGCAUGUAUCAUGAUGGCCACGAUGACAGCCGAGCUCCAAAAGUCAUAUGAAGNGAUAAGGAGUUAAAAGAGCUUGAUGAGUCCACUGCUACUCCUGAGGAGAUCGCUGAAUUCAGGACACAUGAGAGAUAUGCUACUAAGGUGGCAUGCAUCAUGAUGGCCACGAUGACAGCCAAACUCCAAAAGUCCUAUGAGGACUUCUACCCUUUUGAGAUGCACCAUUACCUGAUGGAAAGGUACCAUCAGAGUGCUCGUCAGGAGCGGUAUGAAAUAAUCUCCUCCAUGAUAACAACCUGCAUGAAGGACGGUGAAUCCGUCACAGACCACAUGCAAACGAUGCAAAGGUAUGUGGACCGUUUGCUCAACCUAAAUGUGAACUUCCCUGAGGAGUUGGCAAUUGACAUCAUUUUGCACUCCUUACCUUCUUUCUAUGACCAAUUUCGUAUGACAUAUCAUAUGAACAAGGAGGAAGUUACUCGUAGCAAACUUCAAGGACUCUUGAAGACCGCUGAAACCGGUCUUAAGGGUAAAUCGGUUGUUACCUCUACUACUCCUACUCCAACAACUACCCCUAUUUUGGCUAUCGGGCAGGGCAAAGGGAAAAAGAGGAAGACCCCUUCGAAGGGUACCAAGGGAAAGUCUCUUAAAGGUUCCUCAUCAAGGACCAAGACUGGUUCUGUCACUCCUUCUGCCAUUCCCAAGGAUACUGAUUGCUACUACUGCCAGGAAAAGGGGCACUGGAAGCGAAACUGCCCUAAGUACUUGCAGGAUCUUAAGGAUGGGAAAGUGAAACCCACCCAUGCAGGUAUUUACACAAUAUUGUCUAAUAACUCAACAUAUUCUAACUCUUAGGUGCUUGAUACAUGAUGUGGUAUUCACAUAUGUUCAAAUUUGCAGGGCCUAAGAAGAAGUGAGGAUGUGGACCACGGGAAGAUCAACUUGAUCAUGGGGAAUAGGAAGGCUUCUCCUGUUUCCAAGAUUGGGGUUUAUACUUUGUUGCUGAAUAACGGGUUAAAAUUAGAUUUGAAUAAAUGUGUGUACUCGCCAGAAAUGGCAAGAAAUAUUAUUUCUUUUCAUGGUUUGUACAAACAAGGUUUUACUUUUUCAUUUGAUAAUAAAUGUGGUGGUAUUGAUGCUUUCUUUAAUAAUGUGUUUUAUUUUAAAGCAUUACCUUGUGAUGGUGUGUAUGAAACUAUGUCGGAUGUAGAUAACCUAGGAAAUAAUGUGUUGUAUAUUGAUUCUUCUACUAGCUUAGAUAAAGCAUCAUUAUGGCAUUGCCGUCUUGGACAUGUAAACAAGAAACCCAUAGGCCAACUCCAAAAGGAUGGAGUCCUGGAAUCAUUCGACCUAAAAUCGGAUGAUAGUUGUGAAUCUUGUCUACUUGGAAAGAUGACAAAAUCACCCUUCACUGGUACUUGUGAAAGGGGUGAAGGUUUGUUGGACCUAAUACAUACCGAUGUAUGUGGACCAUUCAAAACCGCCACAUGGGAUGCUAAUCGGUAUUAUAUGACAUUUAUUGAUGAUUUUAGUAGAUAUGGUUAUGUCUUCUUAAUCAAACAUAAGUCAGAAACCUUUGAAAGGUUUAAAGAAUUUAAGCAGGAAGUAGAAAAUCAAUUGGGCGGGAACGUUAAGGUANGUCUCACAAUACACCUUCCAGGACACCACUGCUGAAUGGUGUAGCUGAGAGGCGUAAUUGGACCUUGUUAGACAUGGUUCGCUCUAUGAUGAGUCGAGCUUCGCUAACAAUCUCUUUUUGGGGGUAUACCUUAGAGAUUGCCGCCCAUAUCCUUAAUCUAGUCCCUACAAACA